GAGCGCGCGGCCGGCCAGCUCCAAGGCUGCGCCGCCGAUGGCCGGGCGGUAGAGCAGCGUGAGCUCCGCUGGCGGCGUCGACGUGGGUGAUGAGGAGGAUAGGCGGAGGUAGAAGGCGCGCACGUCGAGGCGCCGUGUCCGGGGCCGCGGCGCGAGCCGGCCGAGGUCGUCCACCGGUGCUCUGCACAUUGCCGCUGAGCGCUCCUACGAUGAGGUAUAUGAUGGAUGGAUGGAUGGAUGGAUGUGGAGCCGUGGGAGCAGAGGCGAGCGGUAGAUAAAGCAAGCGCGGGAGGAGACGACGGCGGCCGGGUGGAAGGAACGGUGGGCGCUCCAGCUCGUGGUUUUGGGCGUCCGUCCGUGGAAACAGUGGGUGCGACCAACGACACCACACGGAAGCAGAGCAGAGCACACGGUUUGAUUUGGCUUGGCUUGGUCUGGUUUGGUCGCCACCGGACCGGGUGCAGACUCCCGUCCCUGUCACUCUCCGGUCUCCGCUGCGUCACUAGACUGGAGUCUGCGUCCCUUGCGGAAGCAAACUCUCCCUCCUCGUCACUAUUUUUUUUUUUUUUGAGCUAGUCACCAUAGAUAACGAGCUGUCUACUUUGAAGCAGCCACGAUGACCCCAUAUUCGACGAUGGACGAUAAGUUGUUGCACGGUGCCUGCUUGGCAGCAAGUGAUAACUGUCUUGAUUUUCGUAAGAUAGACCAUUUUUUUAUUGCGUUGGCUUGAUAAAGAUUAGUUGAUUGCUCCUUUAUACUUUAUUAUGGGUUAGACAUUUUUUGAUACAUCUUCACAAGUUUAAUGUUAUCAUAAUGUACGUCAAGCUUCAAGCAUGAUCUCUUCGCGAUGCUCCACUUAAACUUGUACAUUGCAACUUUGAUGACGGUCAUCACUUGAUGCCAUCCUUCAUGGGUUGUAGAGACCUUCCUCUUCACGCAAGUGAAAGGACGUGGAUGUCGCCUAGGGGUGAAUAGUCUUUAAAAUAAUUAUGAUUUAGGCUUGAACAAAUACGGAAUAAAACUAACGUAUAAUUUAUCAAGCACACAAAAUCUAAAACAACUAGGCUUACCUAUGUGCACUAACAACUUAGAGCACCUCCAACGGUAGCGCAAAAAAUCCGCGCCCAAUAAAUUUUUUAGCGCGCACUGUAGCAGUUUUGAAGCGCGGGGACCGGAGCAUCUCCAACAGACGCGCGCUAGUGCGGCACCCAAUCCACUCCGAGCCAGCGGUCCCAUCUGCAGAAGCUCAGAGUUUGCUGUGCGCGUAAGCCGGCGCACCAAAAAUGCUGCGCGCGAUAGCGUUUUUGAGCGCGCGUCCAAAAAAAUUUAGGGCGCGCAGUGUUUUGCAACUUCUGCUGGAGCAGUCCGGCGCCCAAAAAACGGAUCUUUUAGCGCGCGGAGCAGUUUUUGGGCGCCUGUUGGAGAUGCUCUAAUGCUAAGCAAGAUAAAUAGCUAGGUGAUAGCAAGAUAUACAACAAGAAACAAUAUGGCUGUCACAAAGUAAAGUGCUAAAGUAAAGAGCUCGGGUGAGAGAUAACCAAGGCACACGGAGACGACGAUGUAUCCCGAAGUUCACACCCUUGCGGAUGCUAAUCUUCGUUUGGAGCGGUGUGGAGGCACAAUGCUCCCGAGGAUGCCAUUAAGGCCACCGUAAUCUCCUCACGCCCUCGCACAAUGCAAGAUGUCGUGAUUCCACUCUGGGACCUUGAGGGUGGUCACCGAACCCGUACAAACAAGGUUGAGGCAAUCUCCACAACUCAAUUGGGGGCUCCCAACAACACAACGAAGCUUCACCACAAUGACAUAUGGCUUCGAGGUGAUCACAAAUGCCCGGGGCAAUCUCCACAACUUAAUUGGAGACCCCGACGCUUGCCGGAGCUUUACAUCACAAUGAUUGAGCUCCGAGGAACCACCAAGCUUCUAGGACGCCAAAGCAUCCACGAAGAACAAUCUGUACGGUACCAAGUACCAAAGGUNNNNNNNNNNNNNNNNNNNNNNNNNNNNNNNNNNNNNNNNNNNNNNNNNNNNNNNNNNNNNNNNNNNNNNNNNNNNNNNNNNNNNNNNNNNNNNNNNNNNGGGCGGCGUUGGAACCAGCGGCUGCGGCCGGCGGGAGCGAGGCGGCGCGGCUGCGGGCAUGGCAGGGCGAGCAGGGAAGAGGAAGGAGGGGAUGACGGCGCGAGCACGGGGCAUGGGGAGGACGAGGGGGCUGCGGCUGGAGGGAGCGCUAGCGCUAGGGCACGUGAAGUGAGCCUGCUGGGCCUUGGGCCUGGUGGCUCCCUUUCCCUUUUGUUUUUUUUUCUUUUUGAAACAGAAAACACCACAAAAGAAAAGGAUUUAACAAAAUAAAAGAAAUACUUUUUUGACUCCUUUAAAACAUACCCCAACUAUAAAACAGAUUGGGCAUUUUUUUAAAAGAAAUAAAAUAAAACCUUCUAAAGAAAUAAAAUUAAAACCCGUUUACAAAAGAAUAAAAAUCGAACCCCUUUGAAGAAUUAAAUAAAACCUCUUUAUUUAAAGAAUAAAUAAAAGCCUUUUAAAAGAGAAAAUAAAAUGGGAGGGUUUUAAAAUAAAACAACCGGAGAAAUAAAAUAAAAACCUAAGGGUUGCCCCCACAUUUAAUAAAANNNNNNNNNNNNNNNNNNNNNNNNNNNNNNNNNNNNNNNNNNNNNNNNNNNNNNNNNNNNNNNNNNNNNNNNNNNNNNNNNNNNNNNNNNNNNNNNNNNNUGGCCAACGAUGUGAUGUGAUAUAUUGGAUGUAUGAGAUGAUCAUGUUGUAAUAAGUUAAUAUCGACUUGCACGUCGAUAGUACGACAACCGGCAGGAGUCAUAGGGUUGUCUUUAAACUAACGUUUGUGCUUGCAGAUGCGUUUACUAUUUUGCUAGGAUGUAGNNNNNNNNNNGGUGUUUGCGUAAGUAAGAUGCGAUCCUACUAGAUACCCUUGGUCACCACGUAAAACAUGCAACAACAAAAUUAGAGGACGUCUAACUUGUUUUUGCAAGGUAUGCUUGUGAUGUGAUAUGGCCAACGAUGUGAUGUGAUAUAUUGGAUGUAUGAGAUGAUCAUGUUAUAAUAGAAAUAUCGACUUGCAUGUCGAUGGUACGACAACCGGUAGGAGCCAUAGGGUUGUCUUUAUACUAACGUUUGUGCUUGCAGAUGCGUUUACUAUUUUGCUAGGAUGUAGCUUUAGUAGUAAUAGCAUGAGUAGCACGACAACCCCGAUGGCGACACGUUGAUGGAGAUCAUGAUGAUGGAGAUCAUGGUGUGACGCCGGUGACAAGAAGAUCGUGCCGGUGCUUUGGUGAUGGAGAUCAAGAAGCACAUGAUGAUGGCCAUAUCAUGUCACUUAUGAAUUGCAUGUGAUGUUAAUCCUUUUAUGCACCUUAUUUUUCUUAGAACGACGGCAGCAUUAUGAGGUGAUCUCUCACUAAAAUUUCAAGACGAAAUUGUGUUCUCCCCGACUGUGCACCGUUGCUACAGUUCUUCGUUUCGAGACACCACGUGAUGAUCGGGUGUGAUAGACUCAACGUUCACAUACAACGGGUGCAAAACAGUUGCACAUGCGGAACACUCGGGUUAAGCUUGACGAGCCUAGCAUGUGCAGACAUGGCCUCGGAACACAUGAGACCGAAAGGUCGAGCAUGAAUCAUAUAGUUGAUAUAAUUAGCAUAGAGAUGCUUACCACUGAAACUAUUCUCGACUCACCUGAUGAUCGGACUUGAGAUAGUGGAUUUGGAUAAUGUACCACUCAAAUGACUAGAGAGAUGUACUUUUUGAGUGGGAGUUCUUAAGUAAUAUGAUUAAUUGAACUAAUUGUCAUGAACAUAGUCUAAUGGUCUUUGCGAAUUACGAUGUAGCUUGCGCUAUAGCUCUACUGUUUUUUAUAUGUUCCUAGAGAAAAUUUAGUUGAAAGUUGAUAGUAGCAAACUUUGCAGACUAAGUCUGUAAAACCGAGGAUUGUCCUCGUUGCUAUGCAGAAGGCUUAUGUCCUUAAUACACCACUCGGUGUGCUGCACCUCGAGCGUCGUCUGUGGAUGCUGUGAACAUCCGACAUACACGUUUCUGAUGACUACACGAUAGUUCAGUGCAAAAUACUUAAUGGCUUAGAAGCAAGGCACCGAAAAUGUUUUAAAACGUCACAGAACAUAAGUGAUGUUCUAAAGAGAUGAAAUUGUGAUUUCAUGCUUGUGCCCUUGUUAAGAGGUAUAAGACCUCCGACAAGAUUCUUUGUCCACAAAGUAAAGGAGAAAAGCUCAAUCGUUGAGUGUGUGCUCAGAUUGUCUGAGUACGACAAUCACUUGAAUCAAGUGGGAGUUAAUCUUCCAGAUGAGAUAGUGAUGGUUCUCCAAAGUCACUGCCACCAAGCUAUGAGAGCUUCGUGAUGAACUAUAACAUAUCAAGGAUAGAUACAAUGAUCCUUGAGCGAUUCGCGAUGUUUGACACUGCGAAAGUAGAAAUCAAGAAGGAGCAUCAAUAGUUGAUGGUUUGUAAAACCACUAAGUUUCAAGAAAGGCAAGGGCUAGAAGGGAUACUUCGUGAAACGGCAAAACAGUUGCUGCACUAAUGAACACACCCAAGAUUAAACCCAAACCCGAGACUAAGUGCUUCUGUAAUGAGGGGAANNNNNNNNNNAUUGAUGGUUUGUAAAACCACUAAGUUUCAAUAAAGGCAAGGGCUAGAAGGGAUACUUCGUGAAACGGCAAAAUAGUUGCUGCACUAAUGAAGAGACACAAGAUUAAACCCAAACCCGAGACUAAGUGCUUCUGUAAUGAGGGGAACAGUCACUGAGGCGGAGCAACUCUAGAUACUUGGUAGAUAAGAAGGCUGGCAAAAGUCGAAAGAAGUAUAUUUGAUAUACAUGAUGUUGAUGUGUACUUUACUAGUACUCCUAGUAGCAUGAGGGUAUUGGAUACCGGUUCGGUUGCUAAGUGAUUNNNNNNNNNNNNNNNNNNNNNNNNNNNNNNNNNNNNNNNNNNNNNNNNNNNNNNNNNNNNNNNNNNNNNNNNNNNNNNNNNNNNNNNNNNNNNNNNNNNNGAUAAUUGUCUAUUAUUCAUGUUAUAAUUGUAUUAACCAAAAACCGUAAUACAUGUGUGAAUAUAUAUAUAUAUAUAUAUAUAUAUAUAUAUAUAUAUAUCACAAUGUGUGCCUAGUGAGCCUCUAGUUGGCUAGCUCGUUGAUCAAUAGAUGAUCAUGGUUUCUUGAUCAUGGACAAUGGGUGUCAUUGAUAACGGGAUCACAUCAUUGGGGAAUGAUGUGAUGGACAAGACCCAAUCCUAANNNNNNNNNNUGCUAAACCUUUUCUAAUGUCAAGUAUCAUUUCCUUAGACCAUGAGAUUGUGCAACUCCCAGAUACCGUAGGAGUGCUUUGGGUGUAUCAAACGUCACAACGUAACUCGAUGAUUAUAAAGGUGCACUACAAGUAUCUCUGAAAGUGUCUGUUGGGUUGUAAGAAUCGAGACUAGGAUUUUUCACUCCGUGUGACAGAGAGGUAUCUCUGGGCCCACUCGGUAAUCCAUCAUCAUAUUGUGCUUAGUGUGACUAAGGAGUUAGCCACAGGAUGAUGUGUUAUGGAACGAGUAAAGAGACUUGCCGGUAACGAGAUUGAACAAGGUAUAGGGAUACCAACGAUCGAAUCUCGGGCAAGUAUCAUAUCGAUAGAUAAAGGGAAUUGCAUACGCUAUUGAUUGAAUCCCCGACAUCGUGGUUCAUCCGAUGAGAUCAUCGAGGAACAUGCGGGAACCAAUAAGGAUAUCUAGACCCCGUUGUUGGUUAUUUACCGAAGAGGUGUCUCGGUCAUGUCUGCAUGUCUCCCGAGCCCGUAGGGUCUACACACUUAAGGUUCGAUGACGCUAGGGUUAUAGGGAAAUAGUGUACUGGUACCGAAGGUUGUUCAGAGUCCCGGAUAAGAUCCCGGACGUCAAGAGGAAUUUCAAAAUGGUCCGGAGGUAAAAAAUUAUAUAUAGGAAGUGAGGAUUUGGUCACCGGAAUUGUUUCGGGCGACACCGGUAAUGUACCGGGACAACCGGAAGGGUUUCGGGGGUCCACGGGCAAGGGCCACCAGCCCCGAGAUGCUACAUGGGCUAAGAGUGGGUGGGAACCUGCCUAUAUCACUACUGGAAAACAGUUUUUUGCCAUCUGCCUAGUCUUUGCCGUCUGCUAGCUGAUGGCAAAGAGUGUCUUUGCCGCCAGCUUCAGCAAAACAGACGGCAAAGCACAGGCUGAUGGCAUAAAGCCUUUUUGCCAUCUGUCACUUCUUUCCCGUCUGCUAGCGGACGACAAAGAGUCCAGAGGCAGACGGCAAAGAUAUAGAUAGGCCCACGUGACCGCGGGGUGGCUACGUCAAACUGGAGUCGACCCUUUGCCGUCUGCUAGCGGACGGCAAAGAGUCGGCAAAGAGUCCGGAGGCAGACGACAAAGAGUCUAGACUCUUUGCCGUCCGCCGGCACACGGCAAUACUCUAACAUCGUUAACGGCUCCNNNNNNNNNNNNNNNNNNNNNNNNNNNNNNNNNNNNNNNNNNNNNNNNNNNNNNNNNNNNNNNNNNNNNNNNNNNNNNNNNNNNNNNNNNNNNNNNNNNNUAUAAUAAUAACUAAUUUAUUAUUGCCUCUAGGGCAUAUUUCCAACAGAGUUAUCAUAAUAAAUUUCGUAUAUACAUAUGAUGGCAUGUAGUUUUCGUAUAUACAUAUACAUAUACUUCUCUUUUUAUCAUCUUCCCAAAUGUAUGUUCUUUUGCCUUACUCCCUUUGAUGAGUUAUCACAAUAAAUUCAUGUUUGGAAAAUACAUGAAGCAUUGGUUUGAAUUGUUUGGUUAAUACAAAUUAUGAAUUUUCAGGGAAACAACUCACCAUUCAUGAGUGUUAUUAAUCCAUACAAAAAGCAAGAGACACAACAUAAACGCGGUAACAUAUCAUGUCAUCGUAAAUGUUAACAUACCAUAUAAGAGAAACGCACACCUACGCAUGAGCGUUUGUCCUGUUCGUAGGGUAUGAUGUCCCAUGGCAACGCACGGGCGAUCAACUAGUUGAUGAUAAAGAGAGAAUUUUCUCAAAUAUUUACUUGCCCUAUCUGUUUUUGUUUUCAUCAUGGGUUCGAUAUUGGCCAAAUUCGUAAUCCAGGUGGAGAAAUUUGAAUGUACUUGGCUACUUGCAAGGUAUCCCGAGGUGUAACUGCAGAAAUUUGAAUAUAUAUGCUUUUUAACACUAGGGGAUACUUUGUUACUUGGACUAUAGAUAUAUUGUUAGUGUUUAGUGAUCCGACCACUGGAGAUAGUAGAUGGCAUGAUGAUGUUGUUCAUCAAUGUUGAUCGUGCAUCUAACUCCCUAAUGCAUUUUGGGUGAGUUAUGGGAAGGCAAUCAAGGGAUGAAUGAGUUUACAGAGUUUAUCAAGCACCCCAUAGGCAUCACCAAAUAGGGUUCCCCCCGCCUUUAUAUUAUAAAACACCGACCAUCGAUCACAAGGUAACUGCUGGGGCGAUCAGCACAUCAAGCCCAGCGACUCCCUCCUUUAGCCCCCUCUCCUUCCCUUUCCUCCCUGCCGUCGUCGCCUGCUCCCGCCGCGGGACUGGCCCAAGCGACAUUGGCGGUGGCGGCCCCUGGCCCUUCCCCUCCAGGGGCUCCUCCGGCGCGAGACGAAGCAGCUCCGGGUUGUGUUAUUAGGCGGUGGUGGUCCUGCGUGGGCGGGGGCGGGCUCUGGGCGGCGACAUCAUCGUUGGCGAUGGGGAUGCGGCAGCACGGGCUGGCGGCGCCCACCAGGCCCAGAUCUGGGCCCUUUGGGCCCCAUCUGGGUCUUGGCGGGCCGACGACAGGUCGUGGGUUGGCGUGGCUCUCGGGAGGUGGCGGCGGUGCGUCCGACUGGUGGUGGAUGGCGGCUCAGUUUCCGACGUGUAGUAGCGCGGUGGCUGGGGCUUUGCGGGGCCAAUCUGGGCUCGGCUGGGCCCGGGUGGCCUUGUUUGCCUCGGGUGCGAGCGUCCGGACGGCAAUCCAUGUCGGUGCUGGAGGCAAGGGCCUCCGGCGCGACGGCGGUGGAGGUGGCUCCCUCCCGUGCGGCUCCCGUGCUCCCGCCCUCGCCGCUAGACGCUCCUUGGCUCUUAUCUCUUGACCUCAUGGCGGUGUUCGCAGCGAGGCGGCGUGGAUGGGUCCAAGACCGUGGUGGCGCGUGCUUGCGGGCGGCAAGAUGGUUGUAUGGCUCCGGUUUGGGUGGCGGUGCAUGGUGUGCGGGAGAAAUCCCAGCCGCUUCAUCCGGCUUCGACGCGAUGACGACUGAGGGUGUCACCAUUCCUUUCUAAAGGGUGUCGGUGCUUCCCACCCUGUGCUCCAUCUCGUGUGCCAUGAGAAAUCCUAGGACAUGUUCACGCAACAACGUCAUUGGCGUCGGGUUUUUUCUUGAAGGUGUUGUUUAGGUAUGCGACGGUUCUAAGCCAUGGCACGUGGUGGGACAAAGACGAGGACGUAGCGGUGAUGGUUCAUCUAUGCUUACCCACAGGCAUCUAGAAGCAUGCAUGAUCCUUUUCUGGAUCUUUUAUUUACGGAAGUAGCUUCGCUGCACAAUCUGCACUACAUCCAAUCCAAUGGAUUUCACUAAUUAGCCUUACCCACAGCCAUACCUUCCCCACUUCCAUACAGCCAUACCAAGGCGAAGAAGACUAGCGAUAUAGCAGCGGUUGAUCCAACAGAACUGAAUGAGUGGUAGCGGUGAAGUAGACGUGGAAAGCCCGACACAGGAGGAGAGCAUCGAUGGAAAUUCUGUAGUAGGAAGGUCAUGGGACAGAGGGACCUACAUUAGCCUGGAGUUGAGGUAGAGCAUUUUUUUCGAGUUGUUACAAUUGCACUUAUUGUUCCACACAGUGACACACAAAAUGCACCUAAUGUAUGCACACAUGUUUUCUCUUUUUUUUAAAAGGAGGUUAAGACUCACGGCCUCUCUGAUCAAUCGAUGCAUGCGGCCAUGUUUAUUAUAGUUAUUUAACAAAGGUCUGAUAAAAAUAUACAUUAAGCCAUCCUAAGACACCAUUCAUACUUACAAACUAGAUAAUGUGAAGUGCUUUCACCUCUUACAUUUAAAAUCGGUGUCAUUGUCGAUCCAUCCACAUAACGUAUCAGAACCUACAGCCAGUGCAGUAAACCUUUUUUUUUUUGAAACACGGUCCCUGAGGUACCGAUCUCAUUAAAAAAGAUCGAAGAGAGUUGCCCGGUUAAUAAUCGAAAAAGCGGGCUAAAACCGUCAGAAUGCGCCCGCCACAACAGGACACACAGGGUGACCUGGCAACCUUCACAAGAACGCACACACGCCGCCUAAGGGAAGAACUCCGUCGAGGUUGUAAUCCGGCGUCAUCGUCAUCACGCCUCUGCGAGGGCGACUCCGACUUCACCAUCGACGACCACCGACGUAGCCUCCACCUCAGACAAGCGUAGAGGCCUGCGUCGGACAACGCCAAACAGUCCACCACACGCGCCGGCGACCAGGCAACUUCGACUCAGCCGAGGAGCAUUGAAGGAAGAAAGCACUAGACCUGCGUCGAGCCAGCGCCAGAACCAACCACCCAUCUUCACGUCAUCGUCGCCGCAAGGAUCCCCCUCAAACAGCUCCGACUUCAGAAGACAAGAGAGGCACGGCGACCCCUCGAACACGCCGGACGAGACCGACUACCAGGACCCAACAACAAAUCCUUCUCCGCUUGAAGGGGCCAUCGUUGCCACACAAGAAACCGCGCAGAUCAUCCACAUUGCCGGACGAUCCCCAGCCGACCGCAAUGUCGCGAGCGUCUAGCCCCUAGAGAGUGCAAUCGAAAUCCAAAGCUCUUCAAGAUGACGCCCCCAAGGAGGAAGCGACGAUGCCGACGCCGUCGUCCGGCCCAACCGGGCCUAAGGUUUUCACCCGAAGAACUGGAUCCGAGGGUGUGCAGGGAGAGGACUCCUCAACGGUGCCUCCAAGAAGGUGAGACGACGUCCACAGACGUCGACACCGUCGGCCGGCAAGCUCUUGCCCGGCAAGCUUUCGCCCGGAGCACCUCCCAACACCACAACCCCACGCACAGCACCUCCGCUAGCCCACACGCCUCCCACAAAGCCACCGCGCCAGCGGCACUGGAGAGCCACCAAGCACCUCCUCCACGCAGCACCGCAGCAGCCCCCAGCGACACGAGAUCUCAGUCCCGCCAAAUCCGCCGCACUCUCCAGCCACUGCAAUCAUCACCCGAGGCUGCCGCCUCGGCUUCCUCCACCGCAUCAUGCCGCCACNNNNNNNNNNNNNNNNNNNNNNNNNNNNNNNNNNNNNNNNNNNNNNNNNNNNNNNNNNNNNNNNNNNNNNNNNNNNNNNNNNNNNNNNNNNNNNNNNNNNNNNNNNNNNNNNNNNNNNNNNNNNNNNNNNCUGCCUGGAGCAACGGAGCGACGCCGCCCCCGCUCUUGAGACAGCGACCGAGGGGUCCCGCCGCCGCCGCACCGCCAGGGCUUUGCCCGGCGACGGCGAGCGGAGAGAGAGGCGUGGAGGGACCGGCUCGAGCCCGCAGGGGCGCCCCGGUGUGGCCCGGCGCGGCCGCACGGGAGCGGGGCAGGAAGAGGGGAGGCCCCAACUCGAAAUCCGCCGCGAGGAGAGAGCCGGUGAAGACGGCGCCGGGCUUCGGGAUGGGUGGAGAGAGGACGUUGGCGGGGUUCCGAAUCUGCGAUUGGCUGGGCCGGAGGUGGACGGAGGAGGGAGAUCAGCCGGCGGCGGCGGCGGUCCUGUGCNNNNNNNNNNNNNNNNNNNNNNNNNNNNNNNNNNNNNNNNNNNNNNNNNNNNNNNNNNNNNNNNNNNNNNNNNNNNNNNNNNNNNNNNNNNNNNNNNNNNNNNNNGCGAGCCGCCAACUGACGAUGGUAACAAUAUGCUUUGCUUUCAGACGGACAAACGGAUAGUGCAGUAAACCUAAAGCGUACACCACAUGCACAUGUUUUAGAAGCCGCCAUCAUCAUCGAACCGCUGACCCAUCUUGAGGAAAGAGAUCCACAUUCUCCUUGCUAGUCCGUCCAUCCGUCGUCGACGCCACGACGCCCAACGACACCACCUCCCUGCGCGAAAACUGUUGAGCACGUCGCGGUCGCCGCCAAUACACCACGUCACCAUGCCGCCGAGUACCACCAGCCGACACAGCUUCAAGCCUUUGGAUGAUCUGUCAUGCGUAGCACCUGAUGAACAUGCAUGAAACGGUGUAGCACCCGUCGGCCAGGCAUGACUUGACAUCUUCAUCGAAGCUCCGUGCAAGACGAAGCCGCUCCACCUCCUGCCUUUGUCUUCCAGCGUUGCUCCACAAACGAUGCUCCCAAGAGAGAAAUGACAUCACAGUGUCACCAUCGUCCGAUCAAGACUAGAUCCUAGGAUUUCCCCCGGAACAACACGAGUGGAUCGACAGUACUUACUCGACAAUGCCUUCAUGAAGGUAAUGACGCACAACGCCACCAUCGCCCCUUGUCGGCUCUGUUUUCACCGACAACUAUGUCUCCCCGAAUCGCAGCCAGGACUGCAUGACGGAUCUAGAGAUCCGACCAUCUAGCCUCAGGCCGACCACCUCUGACGAAGGAGAUGGGCAUCACCGUCAAGGCCCGCCUCCAUACCGAGAAGGGCCAUCGGGCUCCAGCGCCGUUAGUAGCCGUGCCCGAUGCACAACCACCAACGACACAUCAUGCGCACCCCAGGGAUGCCUCCCUGACCUGCCUCGGCGUCGAUCCAAGGUCGAGCGCAAGCGCAGGACCAAGCUGGCAAGCAGCCCCAAGGGGAUCCCACCCGACUCCGCCCAGCCCAGGGCCGAGGUGCCUCCCCCCACCCCCACCCCGCGCGCACCGUCCAGAUUCGACAGGUCGGCCGCCGACCACUAUAGCCAUCAUCAUCACGCAUCUCUCCUCGUGCAGCCCUUCACGCCCGCCACCGUGGCAGCCCAGCGUCGCCGCGUUCCAGCCAGGGUAGAUCGACCCACAAUAAUUCUGCCUCGCGAGAAGGAAAGAGCACCCCACCACCGCCCAUGUCGGGCGGGCUUCGCCCGUCGGCGUGCCCUGGCGGCGACGAGGGGAGGGAACGGGGAGCAGGGUCGCGGUCCGACGACGGCUAGGGUUUCCUCCCCUGCCGCCAGCGGGAACGCCAGAGGAGGAGUACGCCCGUGGGAAGUCGAUGUGUUUACCCUAGAUUAGAUCUUGCAUGAUUGAUCGUAUCAUCAAAUCGUAAUACGUCCUACACCAAAAUAGCCUGCAUUAUCUUUAGAAAAAAAAGAAAGAGAAAUAGCAUACGCACUAAUGCCCAAGUUUAUAUGUUUACCUAUUAUGACAUGGUAAAUCAAUAUCCUCGCACUUACUCUCACGUGGAAGGCACGUGUAACUAACUAGUGGGAAUAGUGAUGCCCAAGUUUAGGCACGACAUAGAAACUUGGACGGAAACUUUUAAAACCUGGAUAUAUAUAUAUANNNNNNNNNNNNNNNNNNNNNNNNNNNNNNNNNNNNNNNNNNNNNNNNNNNNNNNNNNNNNNNNNNNNNNNNNNNNNNNNNNNNNNNNNNNNNNNNNNNNUAAUUUGUGAUGGACUAGUUGGAGCACCCCUGCAGGGUUAAAUCUUUUUGGAAAGCCGUGCCCGCGGUUAUGUGGCAACGUGGAAACUUUGUUUAACACUGGUUCUAGAUAACUUGAAGUUAAUUUAAUUAAAAUAUGCCAACUGUGUGCGUAACCGUGACUGUCUCUUUCGUGAGUUCCUUCUCCGAUCGAGGACAUGGUGGGGUUAUGUCUGACGUAGGUAGGUGUCCAGGAUCAUUCAUUUGGUCAACUGUAGUUCACGUCCGCUAUGCGUAGAUCUUCCCCCUUUUAUUUCUUGUACUCAUAAGUUAGCCACCAAAUAUAUGCUUAGCCGCUGCUGCAACCUCACCACUUAACCACACCUCACCCAUUAAGCUUUGCUAGUCUUGAUACCUUUGGAAAUGAGAUUGCUGAGUCCCAUGUGGCUCACAGAUUACUACAACGCCAGUUGCAGGUACAGGGAAAGGGUACUUGAUGCGAGCGCGUUGAUUUUUUAUUUGGAGUUGCUUCUUNNNNNNNNNNNNNNNNNNNNNNNNNNNNNNNNNNNNNNNNNNNNNNNNNNNNNNNNNNNNNNNNNNNNNNNNNNNNNNNNNNNNNNNNNNNNNNNNNNNNGUUUUUAUUUUUGCUUUGGAAAAAUGUUAUUCGGGUAGAGGAUAUUUUUCUGAACUUUUUGGUAUAUAAUACCCUAUAUUAAUAUUUUGAUUUAUUUCCUUUUUAUUCGUUUUUAUUUUCUGUCUCGGAAAAAGUUAGAUAUUAGGAAAGUUUUUUUUUCUUCUUAGCCGCCGCCCCAGCGCACUAUAGGCCAUGGGCCGAAAUCCCUUGUCCCCGGGAUCUGAAUCCCUUAGAUCCAGGGCGACCGCCCCACUCUNNNNNNNNNNCUUCUUAGCCGCCACCCCAGCGCACUAUAGGCCAUGGGCCGAAAUCCCCUGUCCCCGGGAUCUGAAUCCCUUAGAUCCAGGGCGACCGCCCCACUCUUCCCCUCCUCUCUCUCACUGGCCGCUGGGCCCCACCAACCGAGCCAAGCCCCCGUCGGUCACCACCUUCCUCCCCUUCCUUUCUUCUGCCCGAAACCGAGCUGCCCGCAGACCUCGGGAUUUCCUUCCCCGAUGCACUUCUCCUCUUUCCUUUCCACUCCCUCCCCUGGCCUAUAUAAGAGCCUACCCCCGGCCGCCCCCGUUCCCACCCCUUCCCCGUCAAACCGCCGCCCGAGCCACCCUCGCCGGCAGCAGCNNNNNNNNNNNNNNNNNNNNNNNNNNNNNNNNNNNNNNNNNNNNNNNNNNNNNNNNNNNNNNNNNNNNNNNNNNNNNNNNNNNNNNNNNNNNNNNNNNNNUCGCAGAAUAUCCAUACCAAACGAAGUCCAAACGUAAUAAAAACUUACAGGGAUUUUUUUUGGAAUAUUUAUGAUUUUUGGGAAGAAGAAUCAACGCGAGGAGAUGCACGGAGGGCCCACAAGCCCUGUAGCCGCCACCGGGAGGUACGGCGGCGGCUGGCAGGCUUGUGGCCACACCUUAAGGCGGUCGGAGCCCUUCUUUCACCACAAGAAAGAUAAUAUCCGGAAGAAAAUCGUAUUAAAAUUUCAGCCUAGUCGGAGUUACAGAUCUCCAGGAAUUUAAGAAACGGUGAAACACAGAAUGUGGGAGCGCAAAAACUGAAGGACACAGAGAGAGAGAUCCAAUCUCGGAGGGGCUCUCGCCCCUCCGCCGCCAUGGAGACCAUGGACCAGAGGGGAAACCCUUCUCCCAUCUAGGGAGGAGGUCAAGGAAGAAGAAGAAGGAGGGGGGCUCUCUCCCCCUCUCUCCUGGUGGCCCCGGAAUGCCGCCCGGGACAUCAUCGUGUGACGGCAAUCUACACCAACACCUCCGUCAUCUUCACCAACAUCUCCAUCAUCUUCCCCCAUCUAUAUUCAGCGGUUCACUCUCCCGCAACCCGCUCUACCCUCUACUUGAACAUGGUGCUUUAUGCUACAUAUUAUUAUCCAAUGAUGUGUUGCUAUCCUAUGAUGUCUGAGUAGAUUAUCGUUGUCCUGUCGGUGAUUGAUGAAUUGCUAUGAUUGGUUUAAUUUGCUUGUGGUUAUGUUGUUGUCCUUUGGUGCCCAUCACAUGAUAGCGCGCGUGNNNNNNNNNNNNNNNNNNNNNNNNNNNNNNNNNNNNNNNNNNNNNNNNNNNNNNNNNNNNNNNNNNNNNNNNNNNNNNNNNNNNNNNNNNNNNNNNNNNNUUCGGGCAGACCAGGAGGCGGGAAGCAGGGGGUCUUUAGUACCGGGGCGUGGCUCCAACCGGGACUAAAGGGGGUCUUUAGUCCCGGGGCGUGGCUCCAACCGGGACUAAAGACUCUACUCGGCUGCACGAUAAGUUUAGUCCCACCUCGCCCAGCGAGGGGGACUAACACAUGUUUAUAAGCCCCGUCGCAGCUUCUCCAUCGAGCUCCUCUCUAAAGCAGGCUUACGGGCCUAAACUCACUGAAAAUUGUAACUAUAUUAGAAAUUAUAGGGAAAAUUCAAUCUAAAUUCAAAUGAGAAUUUAGGUUGAAUUUUCUCUAUGAUCUCGAAUAUAGUUUCAAUUUUUUUUAUUUUCAUAAUUAAUAAUUUUGACUAUCCAAACUAUUAUCUAUUUUGUUAUUUUCAAUUAAAAACUAUGUUUAUUAAAAAUUCUUUUUGCAUAUUUGAGAAUUUGAGAAAACUAUGAUAAUGAAAACUAUGAUAAUGAAAAGUGUUUCAAAUCGAAGUAGCAGGGUUUCAAACGAGAACUCAUCUCUUACAAAGGGACUUCAUUUUUUUUAAACUUAUUUGAACUUCAUACUUUUUGUGUGUUCAAAAUGCACCAUUCAAAGGCACAUCACAAAAUUUCAACAAUUUCUGACUUCAUUUGUUAUAUUUCGUGCAUUUACUUAUUUUUUUGAGCUAGUUGACCCUGAAAUUGAAAAGCACUACAAAUGAACUCUGAAAAUGUUGAAAGUUGGCAUGCUAUCAUCAUUUCACCCACAUAGCAUGUGUUAAAAAGUUAAGAGGGCUAAGACAAAGACUGGAUGCAGUUCGUGUACAAAACUGACAAUCUCUCUCGAAGUAGAAGGGUUUCGAACGAGAACUCAUCUCUUACAAGGGAUUUCAUUUUUUUAAACUUAUUUGAACUCCAUACUUUUUGUGUGUUCAAAAUGCACCAUUCAAAGGCACAUCACAAAAUUUCAACAAUUUCUGACUUCAUUUGUUAUAUUUCAUGCAUUUACUUAAUUUUUUUUUGAGCUAGUUGACCCUGAAAUUGAAAAGCACUACAAAUGAACNNNNNNNNNNNNNNNNNNNNNNNNNNNNNNNNNNNNNNNNNNNNNNNNNNNNNNNNNNNNNNNNNNNNNNNNNNNNNNNNNNNNNNNNNNNNNNNNNNNNAGAAGAAGAAGAAGCAACUCCAAAUGAACAAUCAACGCGCUCGCGUCAAGUACCCUUUCCCUGUACCUGCAACUAGUGUUGUAGUAAUCUGUGAGCCACAGGGGACUCAGCAAUCUCAUUUCCAAAGGUAUCAAGACUAGCAAAGCUUANNNNNNNNNNNNNNNNNNNNNNNNNNNNNNNNNNNNNNNNNNNNNNNNNNNNNNNNNNNNNNNNNNNNNNNNNNNNNNNNNNNNNNNNNNNNNNNNNNNNNNNNNNNNNNNNNNNNNNNNNNNNNNNNNNNNNNNNNNNNNNNNNNNNNNNNNNNNNNACUUACGAGUACAAGAAAUAAAAGGGGGAAGAUCUACGCAGAGCGGACGUGAACUACAGAUGAUCAUAUGAAUGAUCCUGAACACCUACCUACGUCAGACAUAACCCCACCGUGUCCUCGAUCGGAGAAGGAACUCACGAAAGAGACAGUCACGGUUAUGCUCACAGUUGGCAUAUUUUAAUUAAGUUAACUUCAAGUUAUCUAGAACCAGUGUUAAACAAAGUUUCCACGUUGCCACAUAACCACAGGCACAGCUUUCUGAAAAGAUUUAACCCUGCAGGGGUGCUCCAACUAGUCCAUCACAAAUUACCACAAGCCGCAUAGAAAUCCUCAAUCACGAAGCUCGCGAUCUCGUCGGAUUCCCUAGUGGAAAACCUCAACUCUGAGAUUACCCAAAGCAUCACCGGAAUCCCGAUGCACAAGAUAUUCCGUCAAAGGUAAAACUAAUCCAGCAAGGCCGCCCGACGUGUCGACGAUCCCGAUAGGAGUCGCGUACCUCGUUCUCAAGACACGACAGAUGAGCUAGACGUCGGGAUCACUAAACCUCCGGGUGACCAGAGGCGCGCCGGACAUCGCUCAGGUGGGACCAACACUCAUGAGGAGCACUGGCCUGGGGGUUGAUUAAAUUAUCCUCGGGUUAAUUACUCCCUAUGCAGUUCAUUAGUUAUUAGGCAAAUGUAGUACCAAAGUUGGGCCCUGCCAGACCAGCUUUAAUCUAAAACGAAUUAUCCAGGGGGUACCCAUAACAACCUCGAUCGUGUUAGGAGCACUCGUUUAUGGAACAUAACACCGGUAGCCAAAACUAAGGGGGCAAAGGUGGAACAAAACACCAGGCUAGAAAGGUCGAGCCUUCCACCUUUUACCAAGUAUAUAGGUGCGUUAAAUUAAAUAGCAUUUAAGUAUGGUGAUAUGACAAGGAACCCAUGUUAUCACAUGGCAGCAUCUGCACCUGCAACUAGCAACGCUAACAACAAGGUUAAGCAAGCAGUAACAUAGCCAAUCAGUGGUUUGCUAGGUCGAACAGGUUGAAGGUAAUCAUGGCAUUGUUGAGAGGCUGGAAUUUAACAUGUGGUAGGCAACGAGACAUAAACUAUAGAAACGGUAAAAAAAACUAGCAUGGCAAUGAUAGUAAUGGUGUCUGGGGAAAUGGUCAUCUUGCCUCAGAUCCNNNNNNNNNNNNNNNNNNNNNNNNNNNNNNNNNNNNNNNNNNNNNNNNNNNNNNNNNNNNNNNNNNNNNNNNNNNNNNNNNNNNNNNNNNNNNNNNNNNNUUCUCCGGCAGCGUGACGGCGCUCCGGAGGUUGGUGAUGAUCUCGUCUCAGCAGGGCUCCGCCCGAGCUCCGCAGAAACACGAUCUAGAGGUAAAACCGUGGAGAUAUGUGGUCGGGCUGCCGUGGCAAAGUUGUCUCAAAUCAGCCCUAAAACCCCACUAUAUAUAGGAGGGAGGGAGGGGGAGCCUUGCCUUGGGGUCCAAGGACUCCCAAGGGGUCGGCCGAACCAAAGGGGGAAGGUCCCCCCCCCAAACCGAGUCCUACUUGGUUUGGAAGGUGGAGUCCUUCUUCCCUUUCCCACCUCCUCCUUUUUUUUCUUUUCUCUUUGAUUUUUCUUCCAAUGCACAUAGGGCUCUUUUUGGCUGUCCCACCAGCCCACUAAGGGCUGGUGCGCCACCCUCAAUGCCUAUGGGCUUCCNNNNNNNNNNAGCCGAACCAAAGGGGGAAGGUCUCCCCCCCCAAACCGAGUCCUACUUGGUUUGGAAGGUGGAGUCCUUCUUNNNNNNNNNNNNNNNNNNNNNNNNNNNNNNNNNNNNNNNNNNNNNNNNNNNNNNNNNNNNNNNNNNNNNNNNNNNNNNNNNNNNNNNNNNNNNNNNNNNNNNNNNNNNNNNNNNNNNNNNNNNNNNNNNNNNNNNNNNUGUUUACGGACCAUUCCAGAAACCCUCGUGAUGUCCGUGAUCUCAUCCGGGACUCCGAACAACAUUCGUUAACCAACCAUAUAACUCAAAUACGCAUANNNNNNNNNNCGUUUCCGGACCAUUCCAGAAACCCUCGUGACGUCCGUGAUCUCAUCCGAGACUCCGAACAACAUUCGUUAACCAACCAUAUAACUCAAAUACGCAUAAAACAACGUCGAACCUUAAGUGUGCAGACCCUGCGGGUUCGAGAACUAUGUAGACAUGACCCGAGAGACUCCUCGGUCAAUAUCCAAUAGCGGGACCUGGAUGCCCAUAUUGGAUCCUACAUAUUCUACGAAGAUCUUAUCGUUUGAACCUCAGUGCCAAGGAUUCAUAUAAUCCCGUAUGUCAUUCCCUUUGUCCUUCGGUAUGUUACUUGCCCGAGAUUCGAUCAUCAGUAUCCGCAUACCUAUUUCAAUCUCGUUUACCGGCAAGUCUCUUUACUCGUUCCGUAACACAAGAUCCCGUAACUUACACUAAGUCACAUUGCUUGCAAGGCUUGUGUGUGAUGUUGUAUUACCGAGUGGGCCCCGAGAUACCUCUCCGUCACACGGAGUGACAAAUCCCAGUCUCGAUCCAUACUAACUCAACGAACACCUUCGGAGAUACCUGUAGAGCAUCUUUAUAGUCACCCAGUUACGUUGUGACGUUUGAUACACACAAAGAAUUCCUCCGGUGUCCGUGAGUUAUAUGAUCUCAUGGUCAUAGGAACAAAUACUUGACAAGCAAAAAACAGUGGCAACAAAAUGACACGAUCAACAUGUUACGUCUAUUAGUUUGGGUCUAGUCCAUCACAUGAUUCUCCUAAUGAUGUGAUCCCGUUAAAAAGUGACAACACUUGCCUAUGGCCAGGAAACCUUGACCAUCUUUGAUCNNNNNNNNNNCGCAGAAAACAGUAGCAACAAAAUGACACGAUCAACAUGCUACGUCUAUUAGUUUGGGUCCAGUCCUAUCACAUGAUUCUCCUAAUGAUGUGAUCCCGUUAUCAAGUGACAACACUUGCCUAUGGCCAGGAAACCUUGACCAUCUUUGAUCAACAAGCUAGUCAACUAGAGGCUUUACUAGGGACAGUGUUUUGUCUAUGUAUCCACACAAGUAUUGUGUUUCCAAUCAAUACAAUUAUAGCAUGGAUAAUAAACGAUUAUCAUGAACUAAGAAAUAUAAUAAUAACUAAUUUAUUAUUGCCUCUAGGGCAUAUUUCCAACAGUCUCCCACUUGCACUAGAGUCAAUAAUCUAGUUCACAUCACCAUGUGAUUCCAACGAAUCCAACACCCAUAUAGUUCUGGGGUCUGAUCACGUCUUGCUCGUGAGAGAGGUUUUAGUCAACGGUUCUGAAACUUUUAGAUCCGGGCGUUCUUUACAAAUCUUUAUGUCAUCUUAUAGAUGCGGCUACUACGUGCUAUUCGGAAAUGCUCCAAAUAUCUACUCUACUAUACGAAUCCGUUUCACUACUCAUAGUUAUUCGGAUUAGUGUCAAAGCUUGCAUCGACGUAACCCUUUACGACGAACUCUUUAACCACCUCCAUAAUCGAGAAAAAUUCCUUAGUCCACUAGUUACUAAGGAUAAAUUUUGACCGCUGCUAGUGAUUCAAUCAUGGAUCACUCUCUGUACCUCUCAACAGACUUUGAGUCAAGGCACACAUCAGGUGCGGUACACAACAUGGCAUACUUUAGAUUCUACGGCUAAGGCAUAGAAGACGACCUUCGUCUAUUCUCUUUAUUCUGCCGGGGUCGGGUUUUGAGUCUUACUCAAAUUCACACCUCACAACGCAACCAAGAACUCCUUCUUUGCUGAUCUAUUUUGAACUCCUUCAAAAACUUGUCAAGGCAUGCAUCUUGUUGAAACUUCAUUAAGCGCUUUUGAUCUAUCUCCAUAGAUCUUUGAUGCUCAACGUUCAAGUAGCGUAAUCCAGGUACUCCUUUGAAAACUUCUUUCAAACAACCUUGUAUGCUUUACAGAAAUUCUACAUUACUUCUGAUCCACAAUAUGUCAACCACAUAUACCUAUCAGAAAUUCUAUAGUGCUCCCACUCACUUCUUUGGAAAUACAAGUUUCUCAUAAACCUUGUACAAACCCAAAAUCUUUGAUCAUUUCAUCAAAGUGUAUAUUCCAACUCCGAGAUGCUUGCACCAGUCCAUUGAAGGAUCNNNNNNNNNNUUCGACAAAACCUCCUGGUUGUAUCACAUACAAUGUUUGCUCAAGGAAACCGUCGAGGAAACAAUGUUUUGACAUCCUACGUGCAAUAUUUCAUAAAUAAUGCAUCAACAACUAACAUAAUUCUAACAGACUUUUAGCAUCGCUACGAGUGAGAAAGUCUCAUCAUAGUCAACNNNNNNNNNNAGUUGUAUCACAUACAAUGUUUGCUCAAGGAAACCGUCGAGAAAACAAUGUUUUGACAUCCUACGUGCAAUAUUUCAUAAAUAAUGCAUCNNNNNNNNNNUAUUUGAUCUUAUCGAAAACAUUCUUUGCGACAAGUCGAGCGUUUCUUAAUAGUGACUUAUCACCAUCAUCGUCUGUCUUCUUUUAAAGAUCCAUUUUACUCAAUAGUCCUAUGACCAUCAAGUAGUUCUACCAAAGUCUACACUUUGUUUUCACACAUGGAUCCUCUCUCGGAUUUCAUGGCUUCCAGCCAUUUGUCGGAAUCUGGGCCCACCAUCGCUUUCUCCAUAACUCGUAGGUUCACUGUUGCUCAACAACAUGACCUCCAAGACAGGGNNNNNNNNNNAGUUUGAUCUUGUCGAAAACAUCUUUGUGACAAGUCGAGCUUUUCUUAAUAGUGACUUAUCACCAUCAUCGUCUGUCUUCCUUUUAAAGAUCCAUUUUUACUCAAUAGUCCUAUGACCAUCAAGUAGUUCUUCCAAAGUCUACACUUUGUUUUCAUACAUGGAUCCUCUCUCGGAUUUCAUGGCCUCCAACCAUUUGUCGGAAUCCGGGCCCACCAUUGCUUUCUCCAUAACUCAUAGGUUCACUGUUGCUCAACAACAUGACCUCCAAGACAGGGUUACCGUGCCACUCUGUAGUAGUACGCGACCUUGUCAACCUACGAGGCUUGUAGUAACUUGAUCUGAUGCUUGAUGAUCACCAUCAUUAGCUUUCACUUCAAUUGAUGUAGGCGCCACAGGAACAACUUCCUGCGCCCUGCUACACACUGGUUGAAGUGAUGGUUCAAUAACCUCAUCAAGUUCUACUACCCUCCCACUCAAUUCUUUCGAGAGAAACCUUUCCUCGAGAAAGGAUCCGUUUCUAGAAACAAACACUUUGCUUUCGGAUCUGAGAUAGGAGAUGUACCCAACUGUUUUGGAUAUCCUAUGAAGAUGCAUUUAUCCGCUUUGGGUUCGAGCUUAUCAGACUGAAACUUUUUCACAUAAGUGUCGAAGCCCCAAAAUUUCAAGAAACGACAGUUUAGAUUUCUCUAAACCUCAGUCUAUACUGUUUCAUCUCAACGGAAAUAUGCGGUGCCCUAUUUAAAGUGAAUGCGGUUGUCUCUAAUGCAUAACCCAUAAACGAUAGUGGUAAUUCGAUAAGAGACAUCAUAGCAUGCACCAUACCAAAUAGUGUGUGACUAUGACGUUCAGACACAUCAUCACACUAUGAUGUUCUAGGUGGCAUGAACUGCGAAACAAUUUCCACAUUGUCUUAACUGCGUACAAAAACUCGUAACUCACAUAUUCAUUUCUAUGAUCAUAUCGUAGACAGUUUAUCCUCUUGUUACGACGAACUUGACUCUAAAACAGAAUUGAACUUUUCAAUAUUUCAGACUUGUGAUUCAUUAAGUAAAUACUCCUGUAUCUACUCAAAUCGUCAGUGAAGUAAGAACAUAAUGAUAUCCACUGCGUGCCUCAGCACCCAUUGGACUGCAUACAUCAAAAUGUAUCACUUCCAACAGGUUACUAUCUUAUUUCAUCUCAAUGAAAACAAGGCCUUGCUCAUGUGGUACGAUUUGCAUGUCACUAGUGAUUCAAAAUCAAGUGAGUAUAAAGAUCCAUCAGCAUGGAGCCUCUUCAUGCAAUUUAUACCAACAUGACUCAAGCGGCAGUGCCACAAGUAAGUGGUACUAUCAUCAUUNNNNNNNNNNNNNNNNNNNNNNNNNNNNNNNNNNNNNNNNNNNNNNNNNNNNNNNNNNNNNNNNNNNNNNNNNNNNNNNNNNNNNNNNNNNNNNNNNNNNACUACUCUCYCYCCCCCCCCCCCCCCCCCCNCCCCCUUUUUUUUUUUUGGGUAAUUCAAAAGAAUUCGAGGGCAGACUGAAGCAAUGCCUCAAAAGCAUCCCCCUGGAAAAAAAAAAUCCGUUCGUUGGAUUUUGUGGCAUUCGUUGGAUUUUAUUUCAUUCGGAGCAGAAAUCAGUUCGUUGGGUGAACUGGGCGAUCAGCCGAGUUUUAAGAUACACACGUGGAUCGGCCCAUCACAAUCCACGAGCGCAAGACUUGUUUCUUGUCAAUUGCUGUUACUGGCCUAUACUUGAAUUGUAUGCCUGCCUACUAUUAUCGUGGGCCUUGUACGGCAAAACCUGCCGGCGCUCCAGUCUCAGGUCACACUCCUGUACUUUUACUCGAGGUUUCUUACACGAAAUUUAUAGUGACCAUGCAGCAACAGUUGGGGGAAAGGAAAAAAAGACACCAGCUAGACUUCUGAUACAAGAACAACGCCACCAGCGCAUUCUUCUACUACUGGGACACACUGGUCUGAAGGGGCAAAGCGCUUUCGACUUCAGCUUCCUUGGCAGCAGCAGACCGCUCGGCGACAGCCUUCGACAUCCCAAACAUCUGAGCAACACAAAGCAGGCGACUCGUUCACAAACAUACCAAAGGAUAAACAGAAGGGAAGACCACAGGAGUUUCGAGGUUCAGUGUCAGCACACAUACCUUCUGAAUGGUCUUCUUGAAGCAGGUCUUGUGCUCAUCCAUGGAUGCAUUGAUGAACUCGUCGAUGUGUUCUUUCACAUCUUCAAGGAAGGUGACAUCAUCAUCGGUCUUCUUCUUCCGGCACGACGUCAUGGCAGGGUUUUUAGGAACGGGUGGCUGGGAACCUUCUGUCUGCGUGUUACCGGAAUCCAUGUCAAUGCUGAAACAAACCAACGGUGAAAAGGUUGCUAUGCAUAUACCCCAAAGAAGGGAUCAGGGUAAUAUUAAUCUCAAAGCUAGCUUAUGCAUCAAUGCAGCUACUCUACACAUUCAAUCAGGGAAGGGACAGGAACGUUCAUUCAUAGAGUAAAGAACGUAUGUCAUCUGCUACAAGCAUAGAGUAAAACGAGCAUUGAUCUACUUGAAGAAAGAAGACUACUCUGGAAAGGCUUAAACUCUUAAACUUGAGAUCUGAGAGAGUACACCAAAGAAACCACGCAAUAAUAGUAAUCAACUUGAGGCGGGAUUCAUAAGGAACAGAGACAAAUCUGUAACGCAAGACUGAUAUACGAAACGAGGGGCAGAAUAUAGUAACCAUUAAUUUUUAGGUAACUACUCCUACUACAUAAGAAGAUUGAAGGUAAAAAAAAAUUAGAGCAUAGUUAAGGUUAAAGAACUAAACCAACGAGUAAAAUAUAACUAAUACCACCGCAGUAUCUCGCUCAAUACAGAAAGAUUGUAAGCAUCUAAAGAUGCAUAAAAUAGCAAGUAUUGGGCCUAUCACUGUACUUUAGGUUUUCCAGUUCCAGGUAAACACGUGGUUUAAGUACUAGGUACAAUGCUUUAGUAAGCGUCAAACAACCAGGGAGCCCAAGAAUAUCCCAGAACAAGAACAAAGUAACGCACUGUGUAUUGAUUGUAGAUCCAUGAACAAAAAUAACUAAUAAUAUGACAUCAGCUGCCACUUAAAUUGCCUUGAAGAAAAAUAGAGGGGGCAAACCAGCAUCGUCAAUGCUGGAAACAAAACUCAAGGUGGGAGAACAGAAAACUACCACAAAUCACCAAUUAGCCAUCAUCAUGCCUGUUAAGCACCUGGCCGAAUCAUAAUGCACAUGCAGAACUCUACGGAUCCGGAAGUUUCGUUAGCACGAUCCGGGUCAAAUACAAUCGAGACGCCAUUAAUGCCGUGACAAAGGACAGAGCAUCUCAGGGGCAUUUCGACGAACAACUCGCGGGCUCCCUUUCCUCCGCAGCGAGAGGACUCGGCUCCUGCGCUAACACCAAGAGAGCCAAGCGAUUCCGCGGGCCGCAGGGCACCCAGAAGAGGGUCGUGCUACCGCGAUUGCGAUUGCGAUUGCGCAUGCGGCCUGACGCAGAGUGGUGCCGUAUGGACAGACAGAGACUACCGACUCACGCCCCGUCUUGACAGCGGACCUCGUGGCGGAUAGACUAGGAGGAAAGGGCGGGUCGAGUGUCGUUGUUACCUUGGUUGAGCUCCGGGGGUCGUCGGAGGAAGGGCGGAGGAGGCCGGCGGAGAGGGGGGAAGUUGCAGGAGAUUUGGCUUCCCGUUUCUUUCUUGGAGCAAGGGGGGAGGCAGGCAGCUGUAUUCCAUUCCUGGGUUUCUUUUCUUUCUUGGAGGACCGGAAAGGAAAGGGAAAUUACCGGGGGCGCACACGGGAAAAAAGACGGGACCAAGGCCGAGGGUUCCCGAAGGAUUUAGGCCUUCCCGACUGGGCCAGCCCAGCACAGAGUGAUACUACAAGCAGUCGAAAUUCUCAACGACAAACGUAGAGCGGUGUAAAGGAUGUAAUUCCCUAUUUGACGCUCUUUGCGUUAAAUUACUAGGGCGUCGCACGAGCGAAGCGACCUGGCGACGAGAUGGGACAGCCCGUUUUUCCGUUUUUCCCUUUGUUUCUGUUUUUUCGUUGUUUUAUUUCAUUAUUUCAUUUUUUAAUUCUGUUUCCUCUUCUUUUUUCCUUUCUCUUUUUCAAGGUUGUUUUAUAUUUUUUAAACUAAGUUCAUGUUAGAAAAAUGUUCUUCAAUUUUGAAAAAAUGUUCUAGAAUUUAAACGAUGUUCUAAAUUUGAAAUAAUUGCCAUUUUUCAAAACUAUUAAUAACUUGCAAAAGUGUUCGCAGUUUUAAAAAAAAUGAUUGGGAUAUAAAAAUAUAAUUGUUUAAAAAAUGCUAGUCCUUUGGUUCCAAAAAAUCACUGUAACGGGUACACCAUAAGAGUGUGGAACAUGAUUUAUGAUUGGAUGGGUAUACAUACUGUAACGCCCUCAUGGAGUGAUCUGAAAACAGUCAAGCAAUGAUGAUCCGCCAACGAUGGAUGAUCUGACUAUUCUUAAAGGGCAGGAAUCUCCCUCACAUGUUUGUGUGCUGGGAAAUCUGAAACGAGAGAAAUGCUAGGGUCUUUCGUAACAAAGAAUCUCCGACGACGACGAGAGUGGUGGCAAUAAUCAAAGAUGGAGCCAAGACGUGGGUCAUAGCCGGGGCUAAACUCCUGAGCAAUUUAAUUUCGAAAGGGUGAUUCCAACUGGAUCCGUGUGAUCCUGUAAGCUUGAAAAUUUGUCUAGACUUCUUAAUAAUGAGAUGAGGGAAAGAUUUUGCCUCCGUUUUAAAAAUAAACGAUGUUUUAACAGUUUAAUUAAACUAUCAAAACAUUUUAUAUUUAAAAACGGAGGGAGUAAUAUACAAACUGGAAUGUGCUUCCAUUAAUGGAACUUUUGUAUAAGGCAAUUUCGUCAUAGCACUACAGUUGCCUAAAACUACACUGCUGCCCGGCAAAGUAUUUGCCAAAAUGAGAGGAUUUUUAUUUUUAUGCCCCUGGUUUCUUAGUUGUACGAGUAUUCAGGACUAGCGCUCAGAUUAAUUCGAAACAUAGAAGGAGAAUGACAUGAAUUGCUACAAAAUCGUCUGCGUCCAAGGCUUCAGAACACGCAGCCACUAAAGUGCUGAAGCAGAACAACACGGAAGAUCAACACUGAAGCCACGGAUGCUACACAAUCCUAGUAAGCCGAUAAACAACAUUGCAAAACGCAAGUGAAACGCUAAACUAGCACUGGUGUUGAUUUUUCACCAUCAGUUCUGUUCUGCAAUCUAAACACCAACCACAGGAUACAUAGCUGCAAGAACACACUGAAGCAACUAAACUUAGCAUAAAGAAGAACCAGAGAAGACCAUAUCGCAUUGCACGGAGAACUACCUGCUCAAAUGAUCUUCCAUUCCAUUCGACAAAGAGUAUGAAGCAUAUCACCAAAACGCACCGCAAAUGACGGCGGCGCCAACCGGAUUAAGAGAUCCGCAACCAGAACGGGUCUUACAACGUGAAAUCGCCCAGGCAAACCAUGUCCCAACUAAACUAAGCGAACACAAGGACAAAGCGAAAAAUUAGACUCUAGGCUGAUAAGACCCCAUAACUCUCAGUGAAUGAAGCUUCAGGUUCAUCGAAGACGAUCACGUGCUCAGGACGACUUCACUGAGACUCAGUUGCCGCCGGUGCUGCUUCUGGCUUCGCCACCGGGGUCUCCUCCUUGGCCUCAGGCUCCACCUUCUGCCUGCCAAACGCCUGCCACGCAUCACAAAGCAACCACGGGGUUAACCAUCAGGUUCCAUCAUAAUAUUCAGAUGCAUCAGAUAAACAGCAGCAGAUUGGCUAUGGGAAUUCGGAAAUUAGAACUGAAUCCGUAACUGAAGCCUAUCUGAAUUAGCAGAGCAAAUAAAGGAAGUAUAGCAAGGAACUCGACUCGUUUCAGAUCAGAUGCAUCAGAAAACAGUAGCAGAUUGGCUAUCAGAAUUCAGAAGUUCAGGACAGAAUUUAUCACAGAAUGUUAACUCAAUUCUUAAUGAACAGAGAAAAUGAAGAAACGUAGCAGGAAACUACAAUAGAUGGUAUCAGUAGUAACCCAUAGGAUUCAGAAACCAUAUGCAGCAGCAGCCGCUAUAAGAAGAGAAUCCAACAACGAAUGUCUGAAGUCUGAACGGAUCCUUAUCAUUUAGAACAAGAUUACUACUACAGCACAUAGCAUGAAAGCACGAAAUGUGGAUUACUGUAACAAGCAUAUGACGGCACAAAAGAAAAAGGCUAGAUUCCAAGAGUAAAUUUCUGAACGCAGGACAAAAUAUUGCAACAGAUAAUCUCUAGCAGAAAAAAUUUCUACAUGGACAGGGACUGACUACCAAGGAAAUCCGGAUGUUUGAGGCAAAAAAUAAGGGCGGAAGGAUCUACGAAUCGCUACUUCAUCCACACUACGCUAGCAUCACAAGGUCCUCAAAAUCAGGCAAGCGGAAGCACACACCUAUCUAAAAAAGUUAUCCAGAUGCUUCUCCGUGCAGGACAAAAAGGUGCAAAAAACUAAAUCGCUGCUACAUCUAUACUAACUCGCUUCCGACUUUAACGUGGUUACCAGGAAAAGAAAACAGAGCGAUUCCUACAAGGACAUGCAUUCCGAUCCAGGGAACAAAGGGGAAAAGGAAGAGCAGGAACAUUUCGUAACAGCACGCCACAAACUAUUCCAAAAUUAAACGGCUGGGAGCUACCACAUGUGACGAAAUCCGCAAGAGGGCCAAGAUCCUCAUCGUGCUUCUACCAGCACAAGGCGCACGAUCUAGCGAGCAGAGGCAGAGGACACGCACGGGCCAAGAUCGAACAGCAGCAAGCGAACACGAACACACAUAGAUGGAAGCAGAGCAAAGGGAAAGCAGGAGCGCGUGCGUCAGGGGACGGGGAGGGCGGAGGGGGAAGGGGAGCGGGGCGUUACCGAGCUGGUCUUGCUGGAGAUGUACUCGCGGGCGGCGCGGACCCUGUUCUUGAUGCAGUCCCAGUGCGUGUCGGCGUUGGUGUCCCCGAGCUGCUUGAGGUAGCCCUUGGUGGUCUCCAGGAUGCUGGCGUCCUCGCCCGCCGGCUUCUUGAAGCACACCGGACCCGUCGCCGGCGCCGGCUUGGUCUCCUCCUCCGCCGGCUUCUUCCCGCCGUCGUCGCUCACCUCCACCUUCUCCGUCCUCUCCCCGCCCUCCUUCUUCUCCAUCAUCGCCAGCGACGACCGAACCCCCUCGCCUCGCCUACCCACUGGAUCGAAACCCCGAGAGGAGAGAGGGCAGAGGCUACGCUACAACCAACCACAGUAGAAAGCUUUUCGUGCUCUGGGCAAUGGUGGCGCCGGGCUCGCUUUAUAGCCAGACGCUGGCUUGGCAUCCACGAAAGCCGCGGGGCGACGGCACGGCGCAGCUUCUCUGACGUGCAGGCCCGAGGGCGCUCCUUCUCUCACUGACACGCGCGGCCCACGGUUUCCGUUUCCGACGGACGCGCACCCUCGUGCCGUCGCGCGUUACGCUGACCGGUGGGCCCUCGGGGUUUUGUCAGGGCUUUCCCGUUGCUUCUUGCGCGAGAAGGCGAGCGUCUCGUCUCGUCUCCUCCCAUUCUUUGUCUCGCUGGCUUGUGGGCCCGGGGGCUGACGCAUGCGCUGGCUUUCGCAGAGGCGGUUGCACUGCGCUCGUGAUCGACGGGCAGAGUUCGCGACGGGGUUCACGAGAAGGAAGGCUGCUGCCGAGUCGAUGACAGGGCGGGCCCCGGCGUGUGGGUUCGUGGGGUAGUAGCGGGUGGGAGAAGGGAGGGAGGUGUGACUGACUGCGUGACCCGGUCGUAGGGGUCAAGAUGUGUGGGCCAGCUAAAGGCUGCCUGCCGCUGCAGCAGGAUGACAGUGCAGCGCGGCUGGGUCGUGGAGCUGGCUCUGCCCUGCUAUGCGCGGCGCGGUUUGGAGCGUCCGAUCUUGCGCCGAGCGCCCGGAUCGAACGGAAGUUUCUAGCUACUCGGUGUUUGGAGGAGGGGCGCGAUCUUUUUUGGGCGACACUACAAGUACAUACAGUUUUUACGUAAAUUUACGGAAAGGAUUAGAUGGGUUAAGAUGAUUGAAAGAAAUAAGGGCGAGGGGCCCACACCCCCUUAGAAUCAGGGGGCGGUGGAGAUCAGUUAACGAAGGAGUCCGUAAAUCCCCCGUAUUACUUCGUAUGUUUAGAAUUUUCCAUCUUUUUUGGAUGGAAAGAUACCCUGGUUUGGGCUCCCGGAUUCGACGAACUCAACAUCGUGAUCGCGUUUUUGAAUUUUGAAUCGGCAAACGUGAUGGCUAUCUCUGUCUAUCCUCCUUACGAGAAACGUGAUGCCACAUUGGUAAGGGCAUGAGCACUGGGGGUAGUGGUACGUGCCGCCCCCGAUGCAUCCAGCUAGAUACGGAAAAAUAAUUUUUUCAGUCACACCAUCAAAAGUUAAUGUCUUCUAUAUUAUGGGUCCCAAUGUCAUAAUCUUUUGCUCUCACAUUUUUUCAUCUUUUUCACUUUUUCUGCCCAAGAGGCUACCUCCUGCAGAAGAUCCCCUGACAUGUUUGAAGCACCACCCGAACCUACUUGGACCACCCGAACCUAUGGGGCAGCAUCCCUGGGGCUACCCGGUGUACAUGCCCUAAAUGCACAUUUGCUUAUGCAGGGCUGUUUGUAAAAUUGUGUAAAAGUGCUUGCCUAAUUGGUGAACCGCCUUUGUGUGUUGCCCAUGGACCUUAUUUUAGAAAAACCAGAGCGGGUUUAUUCAUUUCUGGUCGUCUUAUUUCUGACAACUCUAUAAUUGCCUUCUGAGUGUCUUCAUUGUAUACAGCCAAUGCAGCACAAUGAUCAAGCAAUAUGUGUGUUGACGUCAGAUUUUGGCAUGGUCAAAAACUUAAUUAAGAUAACCUCAGAUGGAAACGGACUCGGUAUGAGGAAGUUCCGUAGUGUUGACAUGAAGAUCUAUAAAGUUUGGGCCAACGCCGUCCAAUCUCAUCUCGAAUGCCGAAAGUAUGCUAAAAGUACUAAGGUUUCAUAUUCACAAUACUAUUCGGCCUAUUAAGCCCUCAAGAGACAUCAUAUGAGAAAAUGUUCUACACGGAUUGUCUUCAUAUGCUCGAUGUUGCUGUCGUGAUGGAGGAUGGCUUCCAUCCCGUAUACCAUGCAGAGCGGGGUAUAGCCGAUGAAACGAUUUCGUGGUCAUUCUGUAGUUCUCAUAUCGGUAUACAUCGCACUACUUGUGAACUUCAGUGUGCAAGUUAUAGGAUAUUUCCUUCAGAGAUGUUGCAGGACCUAUAAUAAGUUGUUGCACCGUUUGCAUGUAGAUGCUGCCUGAACUUCCAGUUCUUGUCACCAUCAGAGCUCUUUUCACCGUUUGCAUUGCAUGUGGAUGUUGUACACACAAUCCAGAUAUUACAAGGAGAUGUGCAUCUGUUUAUCCUUCAGGGAGGUUUCUAUCUCCGCAGCGAACCGCCCCAUGGCCGUCCUCGGCAGCGUGAUCGGCACGGCCGGCCACGGCGUCCUCCCCGUCACCGUCCUUGACGGCCACGAAGAACGUCCCCUGGAGAUACACCCGAGACGGCCCGCCAUACACCGGCUCGCCCUACCCGAAGUCCACGCGGUGGAACCCGACAUGCCGGAGGUCGGAGAGGAGGAACAUGUUGGGCGAGUCGAACGGCGGCGGGCCGUGCAGCUCCAGCAUGUCGGCCGCGGACCGCACGUGCGCGGCGGUCGCCUUAGCCUUCUGUAUCAUCUCCACCACGUCGCCCACCGAGCUCCCGCCCAUGUCGUUGGCGGGCGGGCGCCGCCGCUCUGAGUGGCACGCACGCGUUGCCGUAGUAUCCCAUGGGGAGCCGCAGGGCGGCGUUCCUCCUGAAGCUCGCGAUGAUGCCGAGCUGCGUGAUCUCGUCCGGCGGGAGCGCGAGUGCCACCGUGCGGGCGCGCCAGAGGAGCGCCGCGAGGACCUCGAACGUCGUCGCGGCCGGCGCACCUGGGAGGCGUUGCUUAAGCGACGCGAUGUCGGCGAGCCGGAAGACGAACGAACGCAUGACGGUGUCGUGGGCUGGGAGCGGCAGAGGCGGCGCGAUGUCGUGCUUGGUGUGCGUCGCGUCGAGGAGGAGGUUGCGGGACCAGGAAGGCGCGACGGCCGGCGCUGGGAGCCCGCGGGCGAGGUCGGCGACGGCGGACAUAUGAACAGGUGGACUCCCGCGGCGUCGCACAUGGCGUGGUUGAUGUGCAUACCGAAGACGAAGCCGCCGCAGAGGAGGCGCGUGACCUGGAUCACCACCAACGGCGAGGUGAGCACGCCACCGCUAGAGCAAUCCACGUCGAGGUGAGCACGCCACCGCUAGAGCAAUCCACGUAGAGGAGGAGCUCGUCCAUGCACGGGAACGGCGGCGUCAGCCCCUGGCUACCACCGGCUGCCUCCUCUCGAGCUCCGCCAGCCGCACGUCGGCGUCGGCCUCCGCGAACAGCAUGUCCUUGCCCGUGCAGUCCACGACCAGCUUGCCAUCUUCCACCUCUCUGAAGCGCCCGGCGAGGGGGUAGUAGUGCACCAGCGCCUCUGUCAGCGCUGGGCCGAUGACGUCCACCGGAUCGUCGUCGCCGCGGUAGACAAAGACGCCCGGCAUGAGCACCCGCAGAGACUCCUUGCUGUCGAUAUCGGAGAGGCGCUUUGUUUCCUGAGGCGUCGGUGAGGCCGGGACGACGAGGACUGGUUCUCGCCGGCGCACGGCGAAGGUGAGUGCCAUUGCACCCAGCGUGCGCGUGUACCUGGCUUCGUGUGUUUUUGAGGUGAUGAUGCCCUUGGUGCUGAUUCUUAUACAGGAUCACUCGUCCUCACUAUUUGCAUUCGAUUAGAACUAGAAGGAAACGCGCGCCUUGCCGCGCAGUUUCUCAUCAUGUAUACAAACAUACCAAGCAUUAAAAAAAAGGAUUCUCAAUAAUUUACUGCAAACUUCUUAAUCACAGUUUCAAAAUAUGACCGUCUUUUUUGUAUUUGAUUCGAUCCACCUCAGGCUUGGUCAUUGGAAAAUAAGUCAAGGUAUUCAGGUGAUGCAUGUUUUUUUUUUUUGCGCAGACAGGUGAUGCAUGUUAACUCUUACAAUUUCCUGGAAACUUGUAGGGAAAAUGUUUAAGGCUACGUAGGACAACUUUAUCUCAUGAAAUGUCGUUUAAAACUUCUUUCAUACCACACGAAACAUUCUGCAAUUGAAUAUAAACCCGUUACAAUAUUUUAAAUAAUGGUAUUUUAGAAAUUUAAACUAAAGUAGUUGUUUUUUUUUUAUGUAUCACACUUUCCAGAAAAUCCUAACGCAAUUUACUUUAAAACAACAAUUUUUCUUUCGAUGACUUCCCAAUCAACAUGGUCAUUCUUGCAAGUUGGAAAGAAUGUCUAGAAAAUAUUCAUAAACAAAAACACAUAAGUGACAACAUAUGUACACAAUAAAAAUGAAAAUAAAUGCUACGCAUCAAAUUAAGAAGACGGUAAGUAUGAUUAUUCUUACUUGUGCAUGUAUUAAUGACUAUUCUUCACUGCUCCUCACGUCGACCCUUUUCGCAAAAAGACAUUAAACAUAAGAGCGGGACAAUUUUGUCAUCAGCUUACAAAUAACUAUUAUGUAAACAAUUACCUUCAAAAAUGUCCAUUUUAUUUCAAUUUUAAAAAUCUUCGUUUAGUCCGUUCUACUAUUGCCAACGAUUGCAAUCAGCAUAAACGCACGGCUUAAUCACUUUUUGUGCAGACGCAUUUCAGUCCUAAAUAAUGUACUGCAAUGUAAACAUUAAUAACCUUAUACUACUUGACCAUCGAAUUAAUCAGAUCUUCCUUCACAAAAGAUAUCCCCGCCUGUAAAUUGUACUUUAUUUGCAGAUUCUGAUACAACCACCUGCAUGUUAGAGUAUAAAGUCAUAGCUUUGUACUUCAUCUGUUUCUUCUAAAUCCUCUUAAUUUCCUAUUUAUCCCUCUAGAAAAAGGGAAGUACCUCUCGUGAUUGUCUGCAUCUAUCCUUGUAUCAAAAGAAGGAAACUAUCUCUCUCUUGAUUCCAUGUAUCUUUUACUUUUCUAGGCCCAAAGAUUUACUUGCCACUAAGCAACCAGUUUGCGAAGGGUAAUUUUAUCCUAACACCUCUAUAAUUCUGAAAAAUAAUACUCCCUCUAUUUUUAUAUACAAGGUCACUAUUAAAAUUAUAAUUUACAUAUAUACAAGGCCAUUAACAGUAAUCGAUGCAAUACUAAUGGUGUUUACCUCGCGGUACUAGCAAAGGAGGACAUUAAUUAUCUUUUGCAUGAAUGCAUGUUUCAUGUGUGAGAUCAUUGGCUUGAUAUGAAUGAGAGAGAAAAAUACAUAUUAAUUUACACGGUAAACAAGGAAACAAGUUGUUUUGCAACAUUGACUUAAAAGACAUUAACUUUUGCCUUGAUACCUGUAAUGUUAGAUUGUGGCCUUGUAUAUAAAAUCGGAGUAAGUACACCUUACAUAAAGAACAGAGAAGUAUUUGGUAUCAUAUGAUUUUUAAACAUAUUCUACCUUAUCUCUAUGAAUGGCUUCUUGUCCUUCAAGCCUUAUACUCUAUUAAAACCGUCUGAGAGGCUUAAUACAACACGCACCACAUUGCUAAAAUUUAAACAAUCCCUCUCUAAUCCUCUUACAUGGUAUCAGUAUUACCCCCAAUCGUAAACCAUAGUUGUGCAGCCGCUUUCGCACCGCACCGAUCCCAUGGAGGUCGAUCUCCAUGAUCUCCACCACGUGCUGCUCAACUGGUACCUAGGAUUUAUCUGCUGAUCGUGUUGAUUGGUUGCCCUAGAGAGUAUUUUUUUUAUCCUUUGAUCUGAGUUUUUCUCUCUCGCAAGCCAUUUAAUCGGUGUUUUAUUUUUCCUUUUCUGAUCUAAAACCAGUUUACGUUGUCCGGCACCCGAUGACCCUCACCCGCCUUUCUUCGACUCAGCAUCGGCAACACCAGCCUCGUCCGUGCAUUCGUCUACAUCGCGAGCCAUUUUUUUGAACUUAAAAGCAAUCGAACAUUUUAGUGGUGUAGAGAAUGGUUAUAUGUGAAUUGCAUUGCUUAACUCUUGUCUUGUGUAUUCCAUACGGUUUUGAGUGUGAUAUAGCAAUUUCUAGAUCGAUCCUAUGGACCAUUUCAUUUAAUUAAUCGUCGAUUCAUGUAUGUAAAAUACUAUUUCUGUUCUUAAUUUUUUUUUAAAUUACUAGGAGUCUACAUACGUAUACGGAAAAAAUAAGUGAAUCUAUACUUUAAAAUAUGUCUAUACACAUCCAUAUGUAAUCCACUAACGAAAUCGUUAGAACGACUUAUAUUUAGGAAUGGGGGAGUAAUAUAUACAAGAUCUUUGUGUAAUAAUAAUUUGGUCGUGGCUAUGAACGCCGACAGCUACUACUACAGUAUGUGAAAGGAUCCUGCAUGCUUCUGGAUGCUGACAUAUCUUUCACUGAAGAAGCAGCUUCGCGGCAAGAUCUGACUAGAAAAAAAAGUCAAGAACGUGUUGGCUAGCUAGUUUUCGGAAACAAUAUAAUGGGUGGGUGACCUCGUACGCACGCCUUGUGCGUGGCCACGUGAAAUCUCGACGCCACCAGAAUUUGAUACGUUGUCGUCAGACAUGAUGUAAGCAGGUCCUUCUAUAUAUUAAGCCGCUCUGCCGAUCGAUGCUGCAUCACCAAGCCCAAGUGCAUGCUCAGCAAUGGCGCCAGCAGCACAGCCACAGCAUGCCUCGCCACCCCCGAUCCUCAGCGUCCUCGAGACCGCUCUCGUAGCGCCCUCGUCGGGCGCCGGCGCCGCCCCGCCGGAGUCCUCCCUCCCGCUCACCUUCUUCGACGUUAUCUGGCUCAACUCCCCGCCCGUCGAGCGUGUCUUCUUCUACCGCCUCUCCGCCGACACCGACGUCGCCACAAUCGUCUCCAACCUCAAGACCUCGCUGUCCCUGGCUCUCCACGCCUACUACCCGCUCGCCGGCCGCCUCCGCCUCACGCCUGGGACGGCUGACCGCUACGAGCUCUACUACCAGCCGGGCGACGCCGUCACCUUCACCGUCGCCGAGUGCCGCGACGAUGCUGACUUCGACGAGCUCGUCGCGGACAAGCCGAGGGAGGUCCGCAAGAUCGCGCCGCUCGCACCGCGUCUUCCCAAGGGGGGCGCGGUGCUCGCGCUGCAGGCCACCGUGAUGCGCCGUGGUCUCGCCAUCGGCAUGGCCGUGCACCAUGCUGCCUGCGACGGCGCCACCUCCACGCGCUUCCUGCACACUUGGGCGGCGGCCGGCACCGGCGCCGUCGCGCCGUCGCCUCCUGUCAUCGACAGAAGGCUCAUUAAGGACGCCACGGGUCUCUACGACGUCUUCGUCAGAGCCAUGCCGUCCGCCGACAAGAUGGAGCACGUCAAGAUCUUGGACGACAAGCUCCUCGCCACCUUCACGCUGUCCAAACAAGACAUACAGCACGUCAAGGACGCGGUAGCCAGCGAGGCGGCGCGGCGAGGCGUGGCGCCGCCGCGAUGCUCCUCGCUCGUGGCCACCUUCGGCUUCAUGUGGUCAUGUUACCAGCGAGGCAGAAAUGGCGCAAGAACGAGCAACGGCGGCGACCCGACGUACCUGGUAUUCCCCGUCGACCACCGCUCGCGGAUGAACCCUCCCGUCCCGGACGAGUACCUCGGCAACUGCGUCGGCGGCGCCAUGCACGCCGCGCCCAUGGACCAGCUCGCGGAACCCGGCGCCGGCGGCCUCUUCGUCGCGUGCACGGCGGUAGCUGCGGCGAUCGACGAAGCGGUGCGCGGCAUCAGGUCACCUGAGACGAUUGAGUUGUGGCUGGACCGGUUUAGGGAGGCUGCCAUGGCCGGGAUGUGGACUGUCGCCGGAUCGCCGAGGUUCCGCGUGUACGAGCUGGACUUUGGGUUCGGGCGGCCGGCCAAGGUGGAGAUCGUGUCCGUGGCGAGAACCGGCGCCAUGGCGGUGGCAGAGGGCCGGAGCAGCCGCAACGGCGGCAUCGAGGUGGGCAUCUCUCUGCCGGCGGCUGGCAUGCAGAAGUUUCAAAAGUGUUUCCAAGAUGCCAUUCACUGGCUUCAUCACAGUUGAACAAGUGAUGCGUAUUUUUUCCCUGUGCAAUAUAUUGUGGUAGCUUAUCAUGAGAAAUUGAUAUGUACUCCUACAAGAUACUGAGAUACUGAGAUAUCACAAUGGUCGCCAUCAUGCACAUACAUGUCGGCACAUUAACUCCCUUGGUACAACGUUAUUUUGAUGGUAUAUAUAUAUAAGGGAAUCGUUUCCACCGCGCGUCGGCCGAACGGACGCGCCGGUCGCGCGCGGGGCUUGCAACAUUUUUUCCAUCUGCGCGCUUCUCUGGUCAAUGGAUGCAACAUUUUUCGUUUAAAUAUGUUGCAACUUACGUCAUUUUUGUUGCAAGCGUUUUUUUACUAUAUUUUGUUUCAGUAAAAAAGUUGCAUAUAAGUUUGGUUGCAACUCUAGUUUGUCGGAUCUUUUGUUACAAUCAAUGUUUUUUACUUUUUGCUACAACCGUGGUAAUUUUUGCUACAACCGGCAUCAUGUUUUGCUGCAACCAUUCACUAAAAAGUUGCAUAAUGGCACGUAAAUUUUUGUUACAACCGGCGUUUGACUUUUGCUACCACGUAUCAUCAGCUUCGUUUUUUUGCUACGAUUACGUAGAUUUUUUUUUGCUACAAAUUUUGUUUUUUGUUGCAAUCGUUGAAAAAAUUGAUGCAUGGCAUCGAAAUUUUGCUGCAUAGGGAGAAAAAUGUUGCAUGCGGAUCCAACGAUGCGGACGACACGGGGUUGGUGGAUCCUACGGCCCGCGCGCGGCCGGCCGAAAAUCUGAACCGGCGCGCCGGCGCAGAUCAUCCCCCUAUAUAUAAUCCAAAUUUUCUUCGGUACAAGACAAAAUUGUCAAAGUCAUGACCACACACAAUUGGUGAAUGUUCUCCACAACACCGUGGAUAAAGUUUUGAAAUACCCCCUCCGUCUCUUUUUACUUCACGUAUAAGAUUUCUCUCUGAACUCAAACUUUACAAAGUUUGAUCAAAUUUAUAUUAAAAAAUAAUAACAUCUACUAUAAUACAAAAAAUAAUAAUAUGAAAUUACAUUUUAUCAAGAAUCUAAUGAUAUUGAUUUGCUUUUGUGGAUGUUGAUGCUUUUUCAUAUGAGUUUGGUCAAAUUAAAGAUACUUUUACUUCAUACAAAUUUUAUAUAUAGACUAAAAAAAAGAAAAGUAAGGAAGUACACCAAAAAAAUCAGAAGUUGAAUACUUGGUGGCCGGGGGUAGUAAGUUCUUUUUCGAUAAAGGAUGUAGCAUCAAGGUGACAAGUUCUGGACAAAGUCACCUUCACCGUUGCCGAGUACCGUGACGAUGUUGACGUCGAUGAGCUGGCCAUAGACCAGCCGAGAGAGAUCACCAGGAUCACGCUCCUCGCACCACCACUCCUCAAGGGCGGUGUCGUGCUCGCGCUGUAGGCCGCCAUGAUGCUCCGUGGCCUUGCCAUCGGCAUGGCCGUGCACCACACCGCGUGCGACGGGGCGACCUCCAUGCGCUUCCACACUUGGCGGUGGCCAACACGGGCACCGUCGGGCCAUUACCCCGCCGGGCACAAAACUCUUGUAAAGGACCCAACGGGGCUAUACAUCGUCUUCGUGAAAGCCAAGCCAACCGCCGUCGAGAUGGAUCGCGUCAAGAUGUGGAAGCACCGACUCCUCGCCACGUACAAAUUGUUGAAAAAUGCCCUAGAGGUAAUAAUAAAUUAGUUAUUAUUAUAUUUCUUUGUUUAUAAUAAUCGUUUAUUAUUCAUGUUAGAAUUGUAUUGAUUGAAAACUCAAAUACAUGUGUGAAUAUAUAGAUAACACACUGUCCCUAGUGAGCCUCUAGUUGACUAGUUUGUUGAUCAAAGAUGGUCAAGGUUUCCUGACCAUAGAUAGGUGUUCUCAUUUGAUAAUGGGAUCACAUCAUUAGGAGAAUCAUGUGAUGAACAUGACCCAAAUUAUAUACGUAGCAUAUUGAUCGUGUCAUUUUAUUGUUAUUGUUUUCUGCGUGUCAAGUAUUUAUUCCUAUGACCAUGAGAUCAUAUAACUCACUGGCACCGAAGAAAUAUCUUGUGUGUAUCAAACGUCACAACGUAACUGAGUGACCAUAAAUGUACUCUACAGGUAUCUUCGAAGGUGUCCGUUGAGUUAGUAUGGAUCAAGACUGGGAUUUGUCACUCCGUGUGACGGAGAGGUAUCUCGGGGCCCACUCGGUAAUACAACAUCACACACAAGCCUUGCAAGCAAUGUGACUAAGUGUAAGUCACAGGAUCUUGUAUGACGGAACGAGUAAAGAGACUUGUCGGUAACGAGAUUGAAAUAGGUAUGCGGAUACCGACGAUCAAAUCUCGGGCAAGUAAAUACCGAAGAACAAAGGAAAUGACAUACGGGAUUAUAUGAAUCCUUGACACUAAGGUUCAACCGAUAAGAUCUUCGGAGAAUAUGUAGGAUCCAAUAUGGGCAUCCAGGUCCCGCUAUUGGAUAUUGACCGAGGAGUGCCUCGAAGCAUGUCUACAUAGUUCUCGAACCCGCAGGGUCUGUACACUUAAGGUUCGAUGAUGUUUUAGUAUAGUUGAGUUACAUGUGUGGUUACCAAACGUUUUUCGGAGUCCCGGAUGAGAUCACGGACGUCAUGGGGGUUUCCGGAAACGAAGAUUGAUAUAUAGGAUGGUUUCAUUUGGUUACCGGAAGGUUUUCGGGCAUUACCGACAUUGUACCGGGAGUGAUGAAUGGGUUCCGGAAGUUCACCGGGAGGGGGGCAACCCACCCGGAGGAAGCCCAAUGGCCUUAGGGGUGGCGCACCAGCCCUUAGUGGGCUGGUGGGACAGCCCAAGAGGGCCUUGGCGCCAAAGAGAAGAAAACCAAAGAGAAAGGAAAAAAAAGGGAGAGGUGGGAAGGAAGAGAAGGACUCCACUUUCCAAUUCUAAUUGGAGUAGGAUUCCUCCUCUCCUCCCUGGCCGGCGCACCCCUUGAGUGCUUGGCCCUCAAGGAGAGCCCCCUCCCCCUCCCUCCUAUAUAUAGUGGUGUUUUAGGGCUGAUUUGAGACAACUUUUGCCACGUGCAACUCAGAUCUAGACACCAUAGUUUUACCUCUAGAUCGUAUUUCUGCGGAGCUCGGGCAGGGCCCUGCAGGAGUAGAUCGUCACCACCACCGGAGCGCCGUCACGCUGCCGGAGAACUCAUCUACUUCUCCGUCUUGCUUGCUGAAUCAAGAAGGCCGAGAUCAUCAUCGAGCUGCACGUGUGCUGAACGCGGAGGUGCCGUCCGUUCGACACUAGAUCGGAACGGAUCGUGGGGCGGAUCGCGGGACGGUUCGUGGGGCUGAUCGAGGGACGUGAAUACGUUCUACUACAUCAACCGCAUUUCUUAACGCUUCAUGUUGUGCGAUCUACAAGGGUACGUAGAUCCAAAUCUCCUCUCGUAGAUGGACAUCACCAUGAUAGGUCUUCGUGUGCGUAGGAAAUUUUUUGUUUCUCAUGCAACGUUCCUCAACACAAAUAGGGCAUAAGUGUUGGUCGCCUUUUCUUUUCUUUUCACCGCAAUCUUUAUAACAUUGGGAUAUUUUCUUCCUUCAAUCACUGGAGGAUCUAAUUUAUCAUAUUCUAAAUGUGGUGCAUUAUCUGCCUCAUGCACUUCCUCAUCUUUCUCUACUACAACCUCUGAAUCGCUCUCAUCCUCGCUCUCAUGACCAAGAACAUAGUCUUUGUCCAUUUCUUUAUCAAAACAGGGAACCACGAUAAGAGGUACGGAUAUUGGGUUGCAAAGAUAAGCAUCAUUGUCUAAAUGAAUAUUUUCCUCAUCAACACCAACAUGCUCAUUCUCAGGUAUUGGGUUGCGAAGAUAAUCAUCAUUGUCUUGUUCUAUGUUGUUAGGUUGGCUAUACACAUCACUAUGCCACUCCGUGAUAGGCUCAUAUGGUUCAGAUGAAUCACAAUAUGCAACAAACAAGUGCACAACCUUUGUCUUAUAGUGUUUCUCAAAUAUAGACAUCAAUUCUUGGUCAUAUGUUACUUCUCGGUAUAUUUUAAGAAAAGGGUCAUAGUACUGAACAUGUGCAACUUUCAAAUAACGAGGCGGGUACUGCUCUAUGAUUGAUUCAACCAAGUCCUUAUAAUUUGUUAAGUCGGAAUCGAUAACCUUAUCAUAACAAAAGCAUUUGAUAUCCUUCCUAACUCUUUUUGGGUUGCCAAGCAAUCUGAUUUUUAGCAAAUAAGUUGAAUUUGGAUCCAUUCUAUAAAAGUAAAAGAUCAAUUUUAUAUGAACAUAGUGUUGCAUUUUGAGAAAUCAAGAGAAGAAAGGCGAAGCAAAUAUGUUGCAAUUUGGAUCCAUCUCUCAAUAAUAUAUUUCUUCAAGGAGGUAUCAUGGCAGCAAAUACUAAAUCUAGAUAAGAGAGACACUUACCCUUCUAGCCAUGUUGGUGUACUUGCAUCCAAGGCCGCCGCACCAUCGUCCCUGCCCUGCUUCGGUGGUCCUUGGCAACCCUCCAACGCCACACCUUGACCGUCCUCUGCCUCCCCUCCAUGGCCGCUCUCCGACGCCGUGCCUUCACCAUCCGUCGUCGUCCCGCCAUGACCUCCCGAGGCUGAGACCGAUGCAGUGCUGUCCACACCCACCUCCACCACGCCGUCCAUCCCGCCACCUGUAGCAGUGUCGACCACGCCCUCCUCCAUCCUCUCUUCCAGCCUGGCACGCCACUGUGGGAUUCGAGGGCCAGAACCUAGGGUUAAGGACGAGGAGAAGGGGGGGUCGGGAGACAAGGGAAGGGGGAUCAAGUGUGACUCGUGCCGUUCGGUCAACAUGAUAUUUUUUUAAGGUCCUAGACCAGUGGUAAAAAGGACUUUUCAAGUCGCAGUUAACGGUGUUACCAACAAAACUGACGGAAGUGUCAAGGGAGGAAGGAAAUGAAGUUGUGGUGUCACAAAAGAAAUAAAAUAAAAAAAUUAGGGUAAAAAGGGAACCAGAUUUUAAGAAAGGGUCAAACAAGGAAUUCUAUUAAAAAUAAAUACCAGUAUAUCUUAAUUAGUGUGUGGAUAUCUUGGCCAUGGGUAGUAAUGAAAUCACUUAUUUAGCGAUGGCCAAAUAUAACUGUUGUUUGUAAUCAGAAAUUCACAAGCAAGGUAUUUUGUAGUUACAUUUGUUUAUUUCUUUUUAUACAGCUGUACCCAAGGCAAUUGCAAACUCAUAACGGUUACGCAUCACAACUUGCUUUAGCAACAACAGGUGAGAUGGCUGACCAAUGUUUCUCAACUUUCUUUCGCAACAAUUUGUGAUGACUGCGAUUUAACCUCAGGAACCGAGUGCCUGUUCAUGGCAUUGUUACCAUCUGCCCCCCAAAAGCUUGAUGUUUUGAUGUCAUCUUUGGUCAUCAACUUAGAGUAAUCCUCAUGGUUGUACAGUACAUUGUUCUUCCCUCCAAACUCAACAGGAAGAACUUCUGGAUCAAUGUGGCUGUACAUUGUCUUCAUGCUCUCUUCGUUCUCCUUGUACACAAAGUUCAGUUUCUGGGCUGAUUUCGGGUCAAUCAGUACUUUGAGAACCUGAGAGCAUUUGGAACAGUUAUGUUGCUAAAUAAGUAUGGUACCUUUUUGUAUUGAUCUAUAGCUAUUCUUAAGAAAAUAAUAGAAGAGCUUCUUUGAUAAAAAUGAGACAUGGAACACUACAUUUGUGAACAAAAAAGGCACCACCUUAAAAGAAGCCUCAAAUACUUUGGGCGGAUUGAACAUAAAUGCAACCGCAAGCCUCUCCGGGUAAUGGUUUUGCACGGUGUUCAUACUCUCUCUGGAAGUCUUGAAGGGACUUCGAUGGGCCAGUGUCCAUCCUGUGAAGUCUAUCAGCCACACCAUUUUGUCUUGACCUUGAGGCAGGUUGAGGACUGCAUUCUCCAAGGUAUAUGUAAGAUACUGCAACUGCCCUUCAUGAGAUGAUGUAUUCUAAAAAUGUUUCAAAAAAAUAAAAUACAUGUGAGUUCUAGUAGACUGGUAAUUCAUGAGCUAGGAACAUGUUGAGCUCUCACCUGCUUUGCAGGUCUCAUUACAAUCACGGUUCUCCCCUCUCUAUCCGUGAAAGGUGCCCUAUAUAUUUUACCUGUUUCUGCUUCAACGGAAACAUCCGGCUGAAUUGAAGAAUAAAACAAUUAAUGAGGAGUUUAGCUACUUGAUGAAUGCAGUAAGGAAAAUGAAAAUGAAAGAAAGUACCCAUCGAAUAUCCUCAGGCCUCCUGACAGCCCUCCACUGGAGACUUUCUUCCAGCAUUUUUCUAGACUUGUCAACAUUCCAGUUGCGGGCCUCGAGAUAUCUUACCAAGCAUGCUUCAUUACAAUAUUUCUCUCCACGGGCGGACAAAGGCCCAAGUGCAGCUCUGAGUUCCUCGAUCUGUCCCCAGGAGAUUGUUACAUUAGAGAAUUGAUGAUAAAAUAGUAGACAUGUUUGAAUUAACAGACUAGAAUAAUAAAUACUCCCUCAGUUUUUGUAUACAAGACUACUAUCCCAUUUUUAAUAUACCAAGAAAGUUAAACUAACUAAUAAAUAACACGAUUUAUUGCGUGAAAAACUUUUGCAUGUUUUGGGCUAAUUUAACAUUCUGCAUGUGGUGUCUCUUUCUCUAUGGCUGCAUAACAUUUGCAUUAAUAAGCAUCAUUAUCCCAGACAGAAAAUCUAAUUAUUAUUUUCUCGGGAAGAGAUAGAGACCUUGUAUAGAUGAAAAUUGUACUUUUGAAAUUGUCCUUGUAUAUAAAACCAGAGGGAGUAUGUGUAAACCUUGUAUGCUUUAUACAGAUAACAAUAGUUGAAUCUUAUAUGUGUGUAUGCUGUUGGAGCGCGGGGCCAGGCAGGUUUUAUCCAACAUGGGGGAUAGGAUAAUCUCCGGAUCGAUUCACCACCUCCUUUGACAUAGGCAUGGUGUCGGUUUUUUAUGACUUUACUGUUGCCGAUAUGCCGGUUUUUAUCUUUUCUUUUUUCAGACUGUUUGUGUUUGGCUCUGUGCAUCUUAGCUAUGUAGAGACUAGAUGUAGCUCAUCAUGCUUUGUAAACGCUUAAUGCGCCCUUCAUUAAAAGGAAAUAGCAGGCACAGUAGUUCUCUGUGACAAGAACUAGUAUUUUUUAUCGCCGUAGUCCCCAACGAGCUUCCAGUCAAGUGGAAAGAUCAAAAGGACUCCUAAGAGAGCUCCUUUAGGCUCUUGUUCAAAAUGGGACUACGGUGAUUCGGUUACGACAUACAGGUAUAUGUAUACCUAGAUGAAAGAAUGCUUGGUCAGACAUUUCACACUCCUAAAAUUCUACAUUCUGGGAUUUUGUGCAAAACAAAAUGUCAACUAGUAGACUACCCGAACUCUGAAUUGCCGACAAAAGACUACGCAUUCAUUAUCAUCAGAGGGUUUGACCAUCCUUGCAAGGAACUAUCUGAAGUACUCCCUCCGUUCACAAAUAUAAGAUGUUUCAGAUAUUUCAAUAUGUGCUACAUACAGACUGAAUUAGUGACAAACACACUAAAAUGUGUCUAUAUACGUCCAUUUAAAAAAAGUAAGAACAACUAUAAUAGUGAACGGAGGGAGUAGAUUAUAUAGCUGGAUUGAUGCAUUUCAUAUUCCUUUGAGAAAAACAACAUAUACAAACUGCAAAAGAUUAUGUAAGGGUAUCUCCAACGUCAUUGCCGCAAAACACCCACAAAUGCCAGGGACAUUUUUGUCAUCCAACGCGGUGCUGCAUACGUCCGCAAAAAAGUUUGUGCAUCUGAAUUCCCGCAAAAUGGAUGCAAAGUUGGGGGAGGUUUGCGGGAGUCUGGACAUCAAUCACGUAGGGCUCGGAUAUCCACGGCCCACGCAAAACACCAUCGGAGCCUACUGUCUAUCUGCUGCCUUCCAGGCCGACGACACUGAUGUACCACCCCAGCCACCCACCCAGGCUUUAUCGUACCUCCGCCGCUCCACUCGGGCACCAGGCGCCGCCGACCCCCUCCCCCUCGCCCAUCCGCUGCCGAGGUACCCUCAGCUCCUGCAACUGUCGUCCAUGCCGGACUCCACUCCCAACAAGUGUUUGUCUAUGAUAUAGCCAAACUGUUGACAACUUUUUCUUUACUUUCAUACUUUGAUGCAACCACAAUGGAUUCGGACGACGAGUACUUCUACAACAACUUCACGGAGUCAUCCUCGUCUGAUGAGGAGGACGAAUAUGAUAAUGAAAAUGCGAUGAUGCAUGCAGUCCAAGUGGAUGUUGAGAGUGGAGGAUCAAGUCCUGAAUUUGAUGCGAUCAAUGAAGGGACAAUGUUGAAUCGGAAGACUACUUUGCCCUAGAUGCUCUAUUCGCACACAAUUAGACGUUGGCAUUUAACAUCGAUAGACGACUACUUUGCCCCGAUGCUUUAUUUGCAGACAAUUUUUGUUUGUGCUUUCAGAUGCAAAAAAAUGUUUUUGAUCACCUCUAUGAUGGUGGUUGGGUCUAUGACGACUGGUACUUCAUCUUGAAGAAGGAUGGCAUUGGAAAAAUUGGAUUCUCUAGUUACCUGAAGUGCACGGUAGCAUUGAGGAUGCUCGCAUAUGGCACAGCCGCAGAUUCGUGGGAUGAUGUUGGGUUUUGUCCCACAUCGAUUGUGGGAGGAGACAUAACGCGACUUAUAAGGGUGGGGGUGUCCCCUCCUAACAUGCUGGUCUUUUUGGGGGAGAGGGCCCAAGGCCUCUCAGAAGCAGGUGUUGCUCUCCGGUUGGGCCUGGUUGACACAUGUGGGUUGGAAACACUGGUGUUAGUGGACUCGGGAUUGCGUAGUAAUUGGUAUCAGAGCCGAGGUCUUCAAAAUAAAUCUCGAUAGACUCACGGGUGGGAAUAAAUCUCGAUAGACUCACGGGUGGUCAGUCAUGGUUGGUGGGCUGUAAAUGCUGGUGUUUGCAGGCACAUGGUGAUCGAUGUGUGAGGGGGAGAUUAAUGGCAUUAGUCCCACAUCAUCUGUGGGAGGAGACAUAACAAAACUUAUAAGGAUGGGGGUGUCCCCUCCUAACAGGCUAGUCUUUUGGGUGGAGAGGGCCCAUGGCCUCUCAUAAGUCGGUGUUGCUCUCCGGUUGGUCCUCGUUGACGCAUGUGGGUCGGAAACGUUGGUGUUAGCAGACUCGAGAUUGCGUAAUAGAUGCGUACCUCCAGAUAUCUUAAAGCACAUGUGUAGUUGCAAUGGUUAGGUUUUCUACAGCGAUGGUCAAGGUGUUGGACUGCAGUACUUGAGAGAAUCAACGGCCCCAGACAUUAAAAGGUCAUGGCACUCCUGGAAGCAAGAAGGUGGCCAAGUAUACUCAGAUUUCUUGAUUGCAUGCACUGGAGAUGGAAGAAUUGUCCAUAUGCUCUAGAAGGGCAAUAUCAAAGCUAUGUCAAGAAGCCCACCAUCAUUCUUGAAGUUGUUGCAUCCCAAGACCUUUGGAUUUGGCACUCUUUCCUUGUCAUGCCUGAGUCCCACAAUGACAUCAACAUUCUACAGCGGUCUCCAUUGUUUCCUAGGUUGACUAAACGAGAAUCUCCUCCGUGCAACUAUACCAUCAAUGGUCAUGACUACAACAUGGACUACUAUCUGAUUGAUGAUAUCUAUCCUCUGUGAGUGACCUUUGUCAAGACCAUUUCUGAGCCCGUUGGUUAGAAACGAGUUCACUUUGCCCAAAGACAAGAAGGAGCUAGAAAGUAUGUGGAGAGGGCAUUUGGAGUGAUCUAAGCCCAUUUUGCAGUUGUUCUAGAGGAAGUGAAAAAGAAUGGGAUCCAGAGAACUUGUGAGAGGUGAUGACAAUUUGCGUGUUCAUGCACAACAUGAUUGUGGAGGAUGAGGGUGAAGGAGCUGUCCGGGGAAUGGAAUUUGAGAACAUGGGCGAUCUCAUCGAACUACCACGUUUGAAGAUUUUGUCCAAAUGCAUCAAUAUAUUCGGCAUCGAGGAACUCAUGAGCAUUUUAAGAAUGAUUUGAUUGAGCAUCUAUGGGCACUUAAAGGGGACAACUAGAACAUAAGUUGAAUUCAAGUUUGACUUUUUUUUUGAAAACUUAACAUUUUGAUUGUAAUAUUCAAAUUCAAACUAGUGUUGCAUUUGAAUAUUCCCAGUACACGAAGAAUUAUGCUCAUCUAUAGUUAUUUUGGGUGUUGCGGGCUUUAAAAAACAGGGGCAUGCAGUGGCCGAUGUUUGAUGGACAUGGUUGGAUGGUCGACUCAUGAAUCUGUGUCCGUGGAUGACUCCGGAUGCAUCCGCGGAUGGAUAGUGAGUCCGAUUUGAGGGACGGCGUUGGAGAUGCCCUAACUGCGGAGUUGUUUGUGCAUAAAACCGAGAGUUGUUGGAGAAAAAAAAUACUCCAUGACACGUGAAGAUGAAUUAUAGCAAAAUUAACUCAUAACACAAGAACUAAGAAAAGCAGUUUGAGUCCCAACUAAUGUAUGUAUGAGAUAAUGCGAAAUAGUGACACUUUUUUCUUCACACCUUUCGGGCUGCUAUUUGGUUAAAUUAAGUUUACCUGUUUGACUGUUUUCAUUUGAUUACAAAUGCAUAUAAGGAUGAAGCGCAAGACAAACAGAUACAACCACCAUGAAACAUUUUUAUCAUUUUUUCUUCUUUUUUUUGGGGGGGGGGGGGUCAACAUUGUAAUUUAUUUAACUAGAAACCAUGAAAUUUUCAAGAUAAUAGUUCCACAAGGUAACUACCAGAGUAUGAUCUUGUUUUUCAAAAAUACCUUUGCUUGCCUUUGCUUAGCAUCAUCUGAAUCGCAAUGAGAAGCUUGCUUUCUCCAAAACAUGUUUUCUUCAACUCUCGAUGAUGCUCAACCUUUAAAACAGAGAAGGCAUUUGGAGCAAAAUUAGGUAACAGAUACCAACCCCUUGUGCAAACCAAGUUCAAAUUUUGGAGAAGAGUACAAUUACAUUUUAAAUAUUACUUGCAAGAAAAUACCAAUUGAUACGAAUGCAUAUGUAUCCAAGAACUAUCAAAUAUCUAUUGAAGAACAAAAGAAUUUGAGAGAGUGUAGCAGUAUUUUUACCAGCAGAUUGUAACUCUAUUACCUAAUAAAUCCGUUUUCAGCGCAAACAGAAAUCCCAGAUCCCUCCCCCCCCCCCCCCCCCCCCCCAAUAAUAAUAAUAAUUUGAACAUGUUGUGAUGUUCGUACUCGCAUUACAUGAAACAGAGAAUGGCGGAUUCUUGAUGGAUGGUUCCACAGAGACAAGCGCAAGAUUUAUCAAUCAGCAAGGGCAGGGAAAUAUAACGCGAGCACGAGGAGUUCAGUACAUAAUCAGAACAUGAAUGGCAAGAAUCCACCAUAGCUGUUGCCAAUCCAGCAAGACAACAAGAAACAGGAAAUUAGAACUGAAUCAAGAAUAAAUCUCCAUACCAGGGUCGACCUCGACGGGAGCCGCGGCAGACGAACCAGGCCUGCGACUACCACCGAGAACCUGGGAUUGUGAGAUUCACCGACGCAAUGGCGGCAAGAUCUGCGCAGGCAUCGCUGGCUGGCGUUAUUAAAAAGAGAGGUGCCCAGAGAGUUGGACUGGAGCGGGAGCGGGAGCGCGAGAAUAAUCGAGGAGAGGGAGGAGGGGACAGAAGGAGGAGCUGGGGAAGCAGCACCGAAGCGACGCCAUGGAAUGGAUCUGUGGAAUCACGAUGUUGCUGUUGAUAUUUCAGUUGAGUGCCAGCUUUUUUCAAUCAUGUUUGACUGUCAGCUUGCGCACACUGAAGCGCUUGGGGAGAGUUAAUGCCGGCAUCGCGGACAUGCGCCAAAGAACUUUGGAUUCUUUCAUUUUUAUUCAAUAAAUACACCCUAAAAAGCACCAGCGCAACUCAUGUGCUGGCCUAUAAAUUUCCUCAUAUAUUCGUAUGCAGAUAGGGACCAAUCCGUACACAAAAAUAUAAAAGCGGGUCAUCCAACGCUACCCGUUUAUAACUGAACCACAUUUCAAUAGAUCAGGCGAAAUUUCAUACAAACACGACGGAUUUCAUUAAGGUUCGAUAUAAUUUACGUAAAACAGACGAUAUUUCAACUGAAAAAACUAAACUCUAUAUCGGACGACCACUCGUACGCGUGGCUGUCGUGACCUGCCGCACCGUUGUCAUUAUUGAUGCCAUUGUCACCAUCAUCAUCGUCGUUGUUGCCCCUCCAACGGCGGAAGAGCGUCGGAGGGCCGCGACACCCUUGUCAGGCGGCUGCCUGGUGCUCGAGGAGGAGGAGUUUCACCUCCUCCUGCGUGGUGCGGAGGGCUGCCGUGGCCAGGGCAGACGACGCUCGCGAAGCUCGGAUGGCGGCCUUGUCAGGUUUGGCAGAGGAGUCGCUAAGCGACCACUCCUCACUGAUCUUGGCGGGCUUGCUGUCAAGGCGGCGACGACGGCGAGCUGCUGUUUCCGCGGAGGUGACAGAGCGAUCGAUGGCCCACACGUUGGCUAUGUCCGGGUCAUUGUGAAUCAUUCCGAUCGCAUCGGACUUGGCGAAUGCGAAGCGACGAAACGCAUUGCGUCGGCCAUACCAGCAUUUGCCUCUGUCGGAAAUAUGCCCUAUAGGCAAUAAUAAAUUGUUUAUUAUCAUUUUCCCUGUUCAUGAUAAAGUUUAUUAUCCAUGCUAGAAAUUGUAUUGACCCGAAACUUAAAUACAUGUGUGGAUAUAUAAACAACAUUGUGUCCCUAGUGAGCCUCUAUUAGACUAGCUCGUUGAUCAAAGAUGGAUAAGGUUUUCUAACCAUAGACAUGAGUUAUCAUUUGAUGAUAACGUGAUCACAUCAAUAGGAGAAUGAUGUGAUGGACAAGACCCAACCGUAAGCAUAGGAUUUGAUCGUAUCACUUAGUUUGUUGCUACUGCUUUCUUCAUGUCAAGUAUCUGUUCCUAAGACCAUGAGAUCAUGCAACUCCCUAACACCAGAGGAAUACCUUGUGUGUUAUAAAAUGUCACUUCAUAACCGGAUAAACAUAAAGGUGCUCUACAGGCAUAUCUGAGGGUGUCCAUUGGAUGGGCGUGGAUCAAGACUGAGAUUUGUCACUCUGUAUGAUAGAGAGGUAUCUCUGGGCCCUCUCGGUAAUACAACAUCACAAGAAGCUUGCAAGCAAUGUGACUAAGGGGUUAGUCACGUGAUCUUGUAUUACAGAACGAGUAAAGAGAAUUGCUAGUAACGAGAUUGAACUAGGUAUGGAGAUAUCGACGACUGAAUCUCGGGCAUGUAACAUACCGUAAAAAAGGAAACUACAUACGGGACAGAGAGGGCUUAUAUGAAAUAAUAACAAUGAAUAUCUAGGAGGUAGAAUCUUCCCACGGAUAUUCAACAUUCAUAUAUCAUAAGGUUAGUCCAUGGUAAAAUAAUAAUUAUGAUCGUGUGGGGACCGGAUUUUGGGGAUUUUAAUUUCCCUUCAAAUGGCCCUUGAGUAUACCAGCCCCAGGAAUACUGUUAGCUGGUACACCUUUCCUUGAUACAAAUGUUCAAGCAAAAAUACACAUUGAAGUACAUGACCAAAGUGGUCCAAUGAGUACAUCAAAAGGGUUUCUAGUGGUUGAUGGCGGAAGCAUCACUGGGAUCUCCAACUCCCCUAGGACUCCAUUUCCCACAGGAACAGCUGACCGGGUUAACUCCUAUCUCGCUCACUUUGAAGCCUACGCUUCAAGCUUCUCGUCAAGCACCUCAUCUCCAAGCUUGCAAUCUGGCCAAGACAAUAGCCAGGGACAAGCCAGUGAGUACUUUGAAUGUACUCGCAAACAUCAAGAAGCAAACAUAGAAUUGGCAGACAUAUUCAUGCACGCAUAACGAUGUCGUAAUACUGCAUCAACUCAAAUUACUACUCAAGCAUUAGUAGUGAAGUAAUAAUCAUACUGAAAUAUAUUUAAACAAUAAUUUGGAAUAUUAACAUGGGGUGAAAAAUAAAGCAUGCCGCAGUCGGGUGUCUCAGCGACACCACCUAAAGGGCUUAUAAGAAAUAAUAACAAACAUGCCACAGUCGGGCGUCUCAGCGACACCACAUAAAGGGCUUAUAUGAAAUAAUAACAAACAUACCAUAGUCGGGCGUCUCAACGACACCACAUAAAGGGCUUAUAUGAAAUAAUAAAGAAUAUCCAGGAGAUAGAACCGUCCCAGGGAUAUUCACAAUAAAAAUCAUAAUGGUUAGUUCACAGAAAAUAAUGUUUAAGAUCAUCCACCAUAUUUCCUCAUUAGUCUCAUACUCUGUUAACUACCUCUGAAGACCGACACUUAGUCCGACACUUGACUAGUCAACCAACGUUCUUGACCGUGGACACGACUACUCGAAUAGUUUUGACUCUACACAGGGUGUACUCUUUACCCAUAGCCCGCGGUUUUCAAUAGUCACUAUGACUAAUUCCAUGUACGACAUUUUAGAAGUGGACACUCAAAAUCAUCACACACCCACUUUACCUCCGCGAAGCCCGGAUUCACCCGGACUACGCUGCCAAGGUAAAACCAUAAGACGGGGAGGCUUCGACCUCGACUAGCAUGUGAUCAACAAUAUUUAUAUCGUGCGCUUACGGGGAGUGCCCUCCCUUCCGAUCCCAGACCGGAAACACCCAUGCCCCCUGACCGGAUGACUGGAAUUAUACCACGGUCGUGGAUACCUUCAUCCCGGCCCCUCUACUGGUGUGUGAAUCAUAAUAGGUCUGCAACUGACUAUACCGAAUCCAUUAUUCAGGAAACUAUGGAAGCACACAAUUAAGGAGACAUACUCACAAGACUCGAUCUAGGGUCGACUUAGGAGGUUUAAGUAUUACAUGCAUGAUUAGAACAUACCAUGUGUAAACAGAGUCACUUCCACCUACCAUGCCUCAUUGACCACUCUCGUCCACGAGGUGUCAAUCCCACUAUCGUGUCUCCACAAGACACCGACUCUCACUGAAUCCCAUCCGGUAGGCAUGUAGGUUAGGAAAGAGUGACCACUGUCCAUGCAACACAAUCAUAGAAAUCCUCACACCCAAUCUCAUGGAGCCAUAUGCAUGAUUUGCCACAUGAAAUAACACCACCACUAUAACAUAACCUUAUGUUACUUUUACCAAGCAAACACACAUAACCAAUCUAAAAGUAGGUUCAGGAUGCUUGCCUUCCAAGUGUAGAGAGGUGGGGUUCACCACAAAACUUUAGCAAGUCUUAACUCCACUCUUCAAAGCCUAUUUAAAAAUAUAUUCUAAUUAACACACAAUUUAAAAACAGCAUAUAAAAUUGUCUUGGAAAUUUUUCAAAUAAAUACUAAAAUAAACUAGGCAGAAUUUGAAAGAGGUGAGAAAAAGAAUCAUCUCAUUUGGAGUUUUCUGUAACAAAUUAUAGCGAGUCAAAGUUCUGGUCAAAAUCUGAUUUAAAAAAUCAAAAAGAAAAGAAAAACGCUUCAGGUCAAAAGACGCUACCGCAGGAGGGAAAACGUACUUGGCGAAAUGCGCCUCCACUUGCGCGGGCUCAGGCUGGAUAGAGACGCUGACGCACGGGCCCCACGAGCAGGUUUGACUCGGGUCUCCUUCUUCCUCCUCUGGCCGAAGGAAGGGAGAACUCCGGCGAGGCUCACCGGCGACAAGAGCCACCGUUCGAGAAAGGAGGGUACCGGCGUGCUCAGGGGACCAAGGCACAUCCAUUACACUACAUUGGGGCUGCGACGGCUGCCGGAAUCGAGUAGCCCUUCCUCCACGGCGGAGGAACUUUGGCUCCGACGGGGCACUGGCCAGGAGGGAUCCUAGGCGCACGGCGAGGGUUGGGGCAGCUCCUCUAGGUCUAGGAGGUUCGAGAGGUAGGCUCAGGCAGGGGAAAAGCUCACUGAUAGGACCGAAUCGACCCGAGGGGCUACGAUGGCCGAAGGUCACCGGAGUUGGGAACGAAGGGGCCCUGGCUUAAAUUGGGGCUUGGGACGCUGACUGAGGCUUCAGGGGAGAGGCUUGAGUCGACGCACGACCUCGGGGCUCCUAUUUAUAGCCUCGGGGUGUCGGUGCCGCGGCGAGAGGAUAAGCUCGCCGGGGACAGUCUCUGGUGAGGGCACAGGGACGGGGCCGACGCAGCGACGGGUCAAGCGGGGCUCUAGCUCGACGUAGGGGUGGUCCAAGGUGCAGGUGGCGCACUAGGGGCGUUUGGGUGGCGCUGCGACGCUGCGCUGCUACUGCAACUUGACGACGUCCAGCGCGGCUACAGCGAUGCAGGCACGGCAGGGGCAGCAGAGGCUACAGGGGCGCACGAGGAGCUCGUGCGAGAUAGCGCACGCGCUAAGGCCUCUUCGGGCAACGAGGGGGCGGCAGGGGCUGCGACGCGGCGGCUCGAUCUGCUGGCUGCAAAACGCGCGCUCUAGAGCACGCUCAGGCAUGCCAGCUGAAAGGAUCGAUAUGGUUGGCUAGAGGGGGGUGAAUAGACAACGACCACUUUUUUAAUUAAUCUUAACAAGUUAAGGUAAACACUAUACGGGUUCACAAAUAAUAUGACAAUGAGGUGAACCCUAUAGAAGCUAACAACGAGAGCUAUUAAGACAAGUAAGAUAUAGUCACAAGCAUAAGCAAAUACAAAGUAAAGGGUAGAGAUAACCACAAGUGGAACCGAUGGAGACGAGGAUGUGUUACCGAAGUUCCUUCCCUUUGACAGGAAGUACGUCUCCGUUGGAGCGGUGUGGAGGCACAAUGCUCCCCAAAAAGCCACUAAGGCCAUCGUAUUCUCCUCACGCCCUCGCACGAUGCAAGGUACCGUGAUUCCACUAUAGGUGCCCUUGAAGGCGACAACCGAACCUUUACAAACAAGGUUGGGGCAACUCCACACAAAGCUUGGAGGCUCCCAACUAAACCACGAAGCUUCACCACAAUGGAAUAUGGCUUCGAGGUGACCUCAACCGUCUAGGAUGCUCAAACACCCAAGAGUAACAAGAUCCGCAAGGGAUUGGUGGGGGAAUCAACUUUUCUCUUGGUGGAAGUGUGGAUCUAGGCCUUCUCAACCAAUCCCUAAAGAAUCAACAAGUUUGAUUGGCUAGGGAGAGAGAUCGGGCACUUUUGAGCUUGUGGAGCAACAAUGGAGCUUAGAGAGGUAAGAGAUAGGGUUCCUCAGCUAGAAGAACCCUUUAUAUAGUGGGGGAAAAAUUCAGACCGUUUUCCCACUCUCUGCCCGAGUACCAGCGGUACUACCGCUGUGUAGGAGCGGUACUACCGCUGCCUGGCGGUACUACCGCUGGCUGCAGCGGUACUACCGCUGACACCAGCGGUACUACCGCUGGCCCCUUGGUAGUGCACAAGCACUACUACCACCGGGAAAGUCUUCGCAAAAUGGUCCGUCCACGAACUACCGCUAGGUAGGUGGAACAAAACACCUGGAGCGGUACUACCACUGACCAGGGGCGGUACUACCGCUGGCUAGCGGUACUACCGCUGGGGACCAUUUUGCAGAGAUAAUCGAGACGAAUAGGCGAGGGCCGCUCCAAAAGAUAAGGAAAGGGAGAAUGUGAAGUGUGCGUGUGUAAAGAUAGAUUCCACCCAAACCUUUCCACUACGGAUCCCCUCUUAAUAGUACGGCUUUCCUAUGACUCAAAUAAAGAGAAUCGUAGAGAGCGUCGUGCUUCCGUUCCAGAAGAGAGGAGACGUGUCGUCUUGUGUCGUUGACGAGUCUUACCUGAAACCUUGACACACACGAUUAGUCCUGUACGGUACUGUCAUCAAUCACCAAAAUUACUUAGGCAUAAACUAUGCCCCAACAAUCUCCCCCUUUUUGGUGGAUUGAUGACAAUACCGGAUUUGCACAGAGAAUAAUGUGAGAACAAAAAGAUAGAGAUAUAUGACAAUACGGGACAUAUGACUCACAACAUAUGAUGGAAAUAAAUCUCACAUAAGAUCAUGUCUCACAAAAGAUAGCAAACGAGAAUCAAACCAAGUUCGAAGCAAACCAUACGAGAUAAAGCAAAGCAAUGCAAAGUUCGAAAUGAAAGCAAAUCCUAGACUCUCCCCCCCUUUGGCACAAGACACCAAAAAGGGGGCACACCUAAUGCCACAGGUAACUACUCCUCGUCUUCAGGAUCACCAGACUCGUCUGUCCCCUCCUGGUCGGUCUGCUCCUCCUCUUCUGCCUCAUCGCCAGACCACUAGUACCCCUGAGCCUGCAUCCAAGUGGCCUCAGGAGUGAUGUCGUCCUCUGAGCCGCUGGAGAUGUCCACAUCCAAGGUCCUGAGAACACGCUUAUGCCUCUGGCGGCUCUGCUUCUGAGCCACGUGUGUCUGGUACUGACCCUUGGCCUGCAUACAGAAAAGUGUCUUCAUCUUGUCCUGCAGUUUGAUAGCCCAAGAUGGCAUGGCAGACGAGUGGGACUGAGAGGCAGUUCCUCUGUCAGCAGCGGUCUCUGUAUCAGUAUCCAUGUGCUGAGAGGAUGUAGAUGGGUUGGCCCACUUGUCCUUGACGCGAAGCCUGAUUGGGUCAUGCACAAUGUAAUCAGACUGUGCGUAGAGCAGCUCAUCCGGAAAAGCCUGUUGCCACUUAUGGCUGAUGUAUGCGAACAGGUAAGGCCCGUAGAUAGGAACCUUACGAUUGAUGAUGCAGUUCCAAAGCUCUGUGAACAUCACAUCUGAAAUAUCCAGUUGAGCAGACUCCUCAGACAUAGCGUCCUCACAAAGUAACAGCAUCUCAGCCAAGUAGCCAUGGACCUCAUCGAAGUUACCACUCUGAGGGAAGAGGGUGUUGCGAAAGAUCCGAUGCAUGAUGUCCAGGUGCUUGGGAAGCACCCCCUUCCUCAGAUACAGUGACUGCAGUCUGUCCUUUGCGGGGGCCCUAUCGGUGCGGGCUGCAGCAUGGGGACGCAGCCCAAGAGGAGUGUCAGCACCCUGAAAGUCAAUGUGAAGGAACUGCAUGAACUCAGUCCAGGAACUGGUCAUCUUCUGUGACCCAGUCAUCCAUAUCAUGGAACGCUGUGCAUCAGGAGAGAAAUGGACUGUGACAUAAAACUGAGCAACUGCAGUGGGAUCAAAGUCCGUCUUGAAGGUGAUGAUGUCUUUGAUGCCCAGUUUGUCAACCAGAGACAGGGCAUCACCAAAGUAGUCCAUGUUCCGCUGAAGAUGUGCCAGAUCAAUCCACUGGAUAGAGACAUAGUUCUUCUUGAAGUGAGCAACAACAUCCCGAUAGAUCCUGCACUGGUCCCUUGCCCAGACAUUUUCAACACCAUCGAUCACUUCCCUCUCCUUGAGAUAGAGGUUCUUGGUGCGAAAUUGCAGAAAGUCCUUGGGAGACAUUGUACGGAUAUUGACCCUCUUGUCCUUGUGAGCGACCUUCUUGAAGGACUUCUUCUUGGGAGGCAGACCAGACGUGGCAGACCCCUCGGGCGCUUCUGUGUUGCGAAACUGUUUGGACGCCGUGUCCCGUGGGGGGUUCGAACGGCGAGCAGAGCCACCUGUCACACAGACCACAUAGCGAAAAAGAGGCAACAAGAGAAGUCAAGGCAAUGAAACUUGAGAACGCAAAACAAGUAAACACGCAUUGCUAAGCAAAAACAAGCAGAAAAAGUACAUAGUGAAUGCUCACGGCGGUAGUACCGCCACCCCUGGCGGUAGUACCGCUAGCCCUGGCGGUAGUACCGCUGGGGGUCAUAGUGGUAGUACCGCUACCCCUGGCGGUAGUACCGCUGGAGUCCUAGCGGUAGUACCGCUACCCCCUGGCGGUAGUACCGCUGGGGGUUUGACUUUCAGAUCUGACAUAUAAAACUCGUUUUCGAGGGCAUGGGCUGAAUAUGAACACUAAGACGUGCACCCCAACCCUACUGUCAUGAGGAACACUUAGCAACAAGAGAUACAUACAUGCCUAGGCAAGAGAUAGCACGUUUUAGAUCUAAUCCAAAAGUUCAAGUGUUCGAUCUAAGACGAGUAAAUCCUAGGACAUGGCAGCAAAUUCAACAACAAAUCAUCGGACUUAUACUCCCCUCAAAUAUUUCCUUCAUGCCAUCCAAGAACUAGCCAUAGGAUCAAAAAUAUGAAUCCAAUCCCCAAUGCUCCUAACCCUAGAACACGAACAACAACAAAAUAGAAGAAGGGAGGAGCCUUUUUACCGGGAUUCAUGGUUUUGGAGGAGGAAGAAGAGAUGAAGCAACCCUUCCACACCAACGGGGAGAAGGAGCUCCACGAAGUGAGAUCCAAGCAGGGGGUUUUCGGGCUAGGGGAGGGAGGAGCCGCGAGGAAGAAGAAACAGAUGAGAAAAUCGGGCUCCCCCUCCCUUUAUAUAGCCCAAGGGGUACGGGUCAGCGGUAGUACCGCUGUGGCCCUAGCGGUAGUACCGCUGGGGUCCUGGCGGUAGUACCGCUCCCCCUGGCGGUAGUACCACUCCCCCUUGAAACCCUAGAAAUUUUCUAGCCGGUCGUGUUAGAUUUUGAAUCCUGGCGGUAGUGCCGCCAUACCUGGCGGUAGUACCGCUGUACAUGUUUCAACACGGCUAAGGAAAAAGGGAAACUUGGGCACAUGACAAGUGAGUAAAAAGGGAUGACAUCCAAGAAAAUGUACUGACUUGUCAUUGUAUAUCCUCUCCUUUAUACGCAAGAGAGGAUGGAGGGGCGGUGGCCGAGGCCACCUAUGUUUGAGACAAUGGUAUGACACCACGAAGAAUUAUCCUUGGGUUCAUGACCAAUGCUCGUCUUGGAAGCACAAGUGCCAUUUGACAAUGGCUAAAGUGAAAGACUAGAUUGAUUUACGCAUAAUGGGGGGGAGGGAGAGUUCAUUGAGAGAACAACACUCCCCCUAUGUCCAUGCCUACAUCUAGACCAAGAUGAAAUGUAAAGUGAGGUGCAACAUACCUAGUUUCAAUCCACAUUACUUGAAUCAAUGAUAUUUAGCUCAUGCCUUAACUCCCGGAACCUUGCUUCAUCUAGUGGCUUGGUGAAAAUAUCUGCAAGUUGCUCUUCAGUGUGGAUGAAGUGAACCUCAAUAUCACCUAGCUUGAUAUGUUCACAAAUGAAGUGAUGACGAAUAUCAAUGUGUUUGGUUUUGCUAUGUUGCACUGGGUUGAGGGAAAUUUUGAUGGCGCUUUGAUUGUCACAUAGAAGAGGCACUUUGUCACAAGUGACACCAUAAUCCUUUAAAGUUUGCCUCAUCCAUAGCAAUUGUGCACAACAACUUGCAGCCGCCACAUACUCAGCCUCGGUGGAUGAUAAGGAGACGCAGUUCUGCUUCUUUGAAGACCAACUUACCAAAGAGCGACCAAGGAAUUGGCAUCCUCCAGACGUUGACUUCCUCUCCACACAAUCUCCAGCCCAAUCUGAGUCAGAAUAGCCAACUAGAUUGAAGUUUGCUCCUUUGGGAUACCAGAGGCCAAAGUUUGGGGUAUGAGCCAAAUAUCGAAAGAUUCGUUUGACAGCCAUGUAAUGACUUUCUUUUGGUGCGGAUUGAAACCGUGCACAUAUCCCUACACUCAACAUAAUAUCCGGUCUAGAUGCACAGAGGUAAAGGAGGGAUCCAAUCAUGGAGCGGUAUACCUUUUGAUCCACUGCUUUACCAUUGGGAUCACUGUCAAGCUUGCAUCUGGUUGGCAUGGGGAACUUGACCAGUUUGACAUCUUCGAGCUCGAACCGUUUGAGCAUGUCUUGAGUGUACUUAGCUUGUUUGAUGAAUGUCCCUUCUAGACCUUGUUUAAUCUCGAACCCGAGGAAGAACUUCAACUCUCCCAUCAUGGACGUCUCAAACUUCUCAGUCAUUAGUGCAGCAAAUUCUUCAUUGAAUGAAAUGUUAGGAGAGUCAAAGAUAAUAUCAUCAACAUAUAGUUGGCAUAUGAACAAAUCCCCUUUAACCCUCUUAGUAAAAAGAGUGGGAUCAAUCUUCCCAAUUUCAAACCCACGAUCUUGUAACAACUCAGUAAGGUACUCAUACCAUGCGCGUGGGGCUUGUUUAAGGCCAUAGAGUGCCUUAUUGAGUUUGUACACAUGAUUUGGGAGCUUGGGAUGUUCGAAUCCUGGGGGUUGUUUGACAUAUACUAACUCAUUCAAAGGACCAUUAAGAAAUGCACUUUUCACAUCCAUUUGUUGUAAUUUGAAGUUAUGAUGAGAAGCAAAUGCAAGUAACAUGCGAAUAGAUUCUAGACGAGCAACAGGGGCAAAGAUUUCACCAUAGUCGAUACCCUCGACUUGGGAGUAGCCUUGAGCCACCAAUCUUGCCUUGUUUCGAAUCACAAUUCCAUUUGCAUCUUGCUUGUUCUUGAAUAUCCAUUUGGUCCCGAUGACAUUAUGUUCCUCCGUUGGCCGAGGCACUAAAUCCCAGACUUGGUUGCGCUCGAAGUUGUUAAGUUCUUCGUGCAUGGCCAUAAGCCAAUCCUCAUCAUCGAGCGCUUCCUGUACCUGUUGAGGUUCACAAUAUGAGACAAACGCGUGAUGCUCACAAUAAUUCCAAAGCUGUUGACGAGUGGAUACUCCCCUUUUUAAGCUGCCAAGGACAUUCUUCAUAAGAUGUGACUUGACUCUCAGCUUGUUCGCAUUCUUGGCUGCUCGGCGCUCCAAGAGUUCUUCAUUAGAUAACGGGGGAGCAUCGACUUGUUGCUUCUGUUUGCCCUUGCAUCUUGAGCCGGUUGUUGGAGCUCCAGACGGGAAUUGUGAGACAGUCUCCUGAUCAUCUUGUCCUUCGACUUGAGCAGGUUCACUAGUUUGAUCUUGUAUUAGUGGUUGCUCUUGAUCUUGAUCUUGUGCUUCUACUUGUUCUGGAUCUCGGGGUUGCACUUGAUCUUGAUCAUGAGUAGGUUCGGGGUCUUGGAGUAGUGCUUGAAUAUCAUGGGGCACAUCACCAUUGUUAGGCAAGUGAUCUUGACCGAGAGCUUGAUCAACUUGUUGAGAGUCUUCUCUUUGUUCAUCGGAAGCGUGUGGGGCUUGUGGGGGUGAUGGCUCCACUUGAGUAGAGCAUUGUCCUUCUCCUUCGGCCACAAGGGGUUCCUCAAUGGGGAGUAUUUGACCAAUCCCCAUUCUUCUUAUGGCUUCGGGAGGAAUUUCAUCACCUAUAUCACAAAGACCACUUUGCUCCACUUGGGAGCCAUUAUUUUCGUCAAACUCUAUGUUACACGUCUCCUCAAUUAGUCCGGUGGACUUGUUGAGGACACGGUAAGCAUGAGAGUUUGUAGCAUAACCAACAAAGAUACCCUCAUGUGCUCUAGAAUCAAAUUUAGCUAACCGAGCUCCCUUUUUGAGAAUGAAACACUUACAACCGAAUACCCGGAAGUACUUGAGAUUGGGUUUGUUUCUAGUUAGAAUCUCAUACGGAGUCUUGUUCAAGCCUUUGCGGAUGUAGAGCCGAUUGGACGCAUGACAUGCUGUGUUGAUGGCUUCUGCCCAGAAGUUGUAUGGAGAUUUGAAUUCUGCCAUCAUUGUUCUUGCCGCGUCUAUCAAGGUUCGGUUCUUCCUUUCUGCCACGCCGUUUUGCUGAGGGGUGUAUGGUGCAGAAUAUUGGUGCUUUAUCCCCUCAUCACCUAGAAACUCAUCUAGGGUGUAGUUCUUGAACUCGGUGCCGUUGUCACUCCUAAUCAUCAAGAUCUUUGCUUCAUGUUGACGUUGCGCUUCAUUAGCAAAGUUGAUGACCGUUUGUUGAGUUUCACUCUUAUUUUUAAAGAAAUAUACCUAGGUAUAUCUUGAGUAGUCAUCAACAAUCACUAAGCAAUAUUUUCUGCCUCCAAGACUAUCAAAUGUUGGAGGACCAAACAGAUCCAUAUGGAGAAGUUCCAAUGGCCUCUUAGUGUAGAUAAGAGUCGUUGGGCGAUGAGCAGUUUCAUGAAUCUUUCCUUCAAUGCAAGCACUGCAAACACGAUCUUUAGCAAAGCUCACAUUUGUUAGUCCACGAACAUGGUCCCCUGUCAGAAGACUUUGCAAAGAUCUCAUAUUGACAUGAGCUAACCGACGAUGCCAAAGCCAGCCCACGUCAACUUUAGCCAUUAAACAUGUCGCAGUCUUAGUGGGUCGCUUUGAGAAGUUCACCACAUAGAGACCAUUUUUGACAUGUCCAACAUAGGCUACUUUAAGAGUCUUGCUCCUUAGGAGGACCACAGUGUCAAUAUUAAAGAAUGUGGAAAAACCCAUGAUUGCAAGUUGACGAACCGAAAGUAAAUUGUAGGCAAGUGACUCAACAAGCAUGACCUUCUCAAUAGAUAACUCUUGAGAGACGACCACCUUACCAAAUCCCAAUACCUUUGACGAGGAUGCAUCGGCGAAUUGGACAUGGGUGGGCAUAGAUGGAGAAGGAUGCACAUCCACCACUAAGUCCUUGCUUCCGGUCAUAUGAUUUGUUGCUCCACUAUCGAGCAACCAUGACACCUCACCGGAAGCAAACUCCUGCAAUAGAUCAAGGCUUGGUUUUAGGUACCCAUUUUUUAAUGGGUCCUUUCAUGUUAGAGACAAGGGUCUUAGGAACCCAGAUAGCCCAUUCAAUAUCUUCAUCGUAGGAACCAACAAAUCUGGCAUAAACAUGCCCAUCACUAGCACAACAUAAAACAUAAGAAGAGUUGAGUUUGCCGGCUGUGUUAGUAGGAGCGGUUUUGCCCUUCUUGGGGUUCCCAUAGUCCACCUUGUUCCUGUUCACCUUCUGAGUCCCCUCACCCUCUCUGACAAAGAUGUCCAUGAGGGUGAGAGAUUGUUUGUUCUUGUUCUUCCUUUUACCUUUUGACUUGGAGGUAAGUCCAAGUCCUUCCUUUCCUACAACACCCUUUUAAGUGCUCAAGAGAUCGUUCAGACUCUUCUCACCUUGUCUGCAUGCCACAAGGCCCUUCUCAAGUUUCUCCUUUAACUUGGCAUUUUCCUCCACAAGAUGAACAUGCUCACAACAGGGGUUAGUUGCACAAGUAUUAUCAAUUAACACAAAGGGAGGACAAGUAGAGAUCUCCUUGGUAAGCUUUGCCUGGAGUUGAUCAUGAGACUCUUUUAGAGAGAAAUGAACACCUUUCAAGGCUUUGUGAGCCUUGUCAAGUAUGUCAAAUUCUUCUUUGAGUCUGUCACGGCCAACCUCAAGAGCAUACUUUUCAGAUUUAAGCAUGCGAGUAAGAACAACAUCAUGAUCUAGUUUCUUUUGCAUUUUAGCGCAGUCAUCGUUAUAUGACUCCUCAAGAGCCAAACGAAGAGUGCGCUCUUCUUCUAGAGCACUAGAUAAUUCGGCAAUUUCAUCGGCAUAGUCACGACUAUGUCCCUGAAGCUCAGAGAUGGUCUCCUCAUGAGACUCAAUGAGGUCAUUGGCCUCACCCAGUUGUUCCAAGAGAGCAACAAAGUGCUUCUUGGGUUCUCCCUUAAUAGUGCACAGAAACUUAUCAAGAUCAUGCUCAUUAAGUUCUCCAACAUCACUAUUUUCAACACAAUUUAACAAUGAAGGAGCAGAAGCAAUGUUGGUCUUACUGAUGGGAGUUACCUGAUUGGUACCUUUUGCCAUGAGACACUUGGUGAUGUGGUUCUCGUUGGGGGCGUUGAAGAGAGACACCUUCUGGGAAGAGGUAGUGGCAAUAGCAACAGUUGCCGUUGCCACAGUAUCAUCAUCAUCAUCAUCAUCGGAAGGAUACUCCUCCAGGGCCACCAUCCCUUUUGGGUGAGGUUUCUUCACAAAGUUGUUCUUGAUAGGAAAUGAUUUGGUUUUGUCUUUGCGAAUGAGCUUGCCUCCGUUGUCUUCCCUUUUCUCAUAGGGACAUUCUGCCACGAAGUGACUCACGUUGCCACAGUUAUAACAUGUCCUUACUCGUUGUUUGGGUUUGAAUACACUCGAGUUGUUCUUGUUGAAGGUGGGUCUUGAGUUCCUUUUAUUUCCCCAGAAUUGCCUUGAUGCAAGAGCCAUGUGCUCAUGAUAGGCAUACUUUGUGUCUUCAGGGCAGCUCUCCUCUUCCUCAUCUUCUUCUUCUUCUUCAAGCAUUGCUCUUGCUUUCAAUGCAAGGUUCGGUGAAGUUGUCUUUGAUCGAACACGAGCAAGUGCAUUGUCGGUUGUUUUGUUCAUGAUUGACAUUGCAAUGAACUCAUCCAACACUUCACUAGAAGACAAGGAGUGGAAGUCUGGCCGCUGACGAAUGACAGAUGACAUGGCUUUAUUGAAAGGCAUGAUGGCUUUGAGAAACUUGCGCUUGACCCAUGUGUCAUCCACAUCCUUACUCCCAUGGUCCUUUAGUGCCACAACAAUAGCAGUCACCCUCCGAUAGAGAUCACGAGGGUCCUCUUCUUCCUUCAUCACAAACUCAUCGGCCUUAUCAAGUAUCACUUCAUAGUUGGAUCGUUGAAUACUUGAGCUUCCCUUAUACAACACCAUAAUAUGCUCCCAACAAUCCUUGGCCAAUGUGAAGGGACGUAAGUGGGGAAGAUCUUCAGGUGGCACAGCAGACUGGAGAAUAAACAACGCAGAGUGAUUAUAUUGAUUGUCUGCAUCUUCUCUUGGAGUGAGGUUGCUUGGGUCAUGGGGAUAAAAUCCUUGCUCGAUAAUUCUCCACAAGUUUGUUGAGCUGUGAUUCAAAUGAGACUUAAUAGAAAAUACCCAGUUAGCAAAGUCACCUUUCACAAGUUUAGGAGGAGGACCAACAGGAUUAAGACGAGGUGCGAGAACGGGUCCUCCAUAAGUCAUGGGAGGUGGAACAGAAGCAUAUGUUCCAGUCCCAUCCUUUUCGUGAGGUGAAGCAGGUCGCAUACCUUUAGCCGCUUCCUUAGAGGAGUUGGCCUCCGAAUCGGAAAUGGUGGGUUUAACCACUAAAGCCGGUUCGGGUGAACUCUUAAGACCAUCAAUUAAUUCUUUAAGCAUGGUUUUGACUUCGCUCGUCAAGGACGUCUUGAGGGCUGCCAUAUCCGUAUUCAAGUCGUCCCUUGUGACCGAAGUCAAGUCCAUGUCCUCUCCGCCUUCCAUACUCUUCGGGUGGUUAAACCCUUAAUAAAGAGACGUGGCUCUGAUACCAAUUGAAAGGAUCGAUAUGGUUGGCUAGAGGGGGGGGGUGAAUAGACAACGACCACCUUUUAAUUAAUCUUAACAAGUUAAGGUAAACACUAUACGGGUUCACAAAUAAUAUGACAAUGAGGUGAACCCUAUAGAAGCUAACAACGAGAGCUAUUAAGACAAGUAAGAUAUAGUCACAAGCAUAAGCAAAUACAAAGUAAAGGGUAGAGAUAACCACAAGUGGAACCGAUGGAGACGAGGAUGUGUUACCGAAGUUCCUUCCCUUUGACAGGAAGUACGUCUCCGUUGGAGCGGUGUGGAGGCACAAUGCUCCCCAAAAAGCCACUAAGGCCAUCGUAUUCUCCUCAAGUCCUCGCACGAUGCAAGGUACCGUGAUUCCACUAUAGGUGCCCUUGAAGGCGGCGACCGAACCUUUACAAACAAGGUUGGGGCAACUCCACUUAUCAAGUAUCACUUCAUAGUUGGAUCGUUGAAUACUUGAGCUUCCCUUAUACAACACCAUAAUAUGCUCCCAACAAUCCUUGGCCAAUGUGAAGGGACGUAAGUGGGGAAGAUCUUCAGGUGGCACAGCAGACUGGAGAAUAAACAACGCAGAGUGAUUAUAUUGAUUGUCUGCAUCUUCUCUUGGAGUGAGGUUGCUUGGGUCAUGGGGAUAAAAUCCUUGCUCGAUAAUUCUCCACAAGUUUGUUGAGCUGUGAUUCAAAUGAGACUUAAUAGAAAAUACCCAGUUAGCAAAGUCACCUUUCACAAGUUUAGGAGGAGGACCAACAGGAUUAAGACGAGGUGCGAGAACGGGUCCUCCAUAAGUCAUGGGAGGUGGAACAGAAGCAUAUGUUCCAGUCCCAUCCUUUUCGUGAGGUGAAGCAGGUCGCAUACCUUUAGCCGCUUCCUUAGAGGAGUUGGCCUCCGAAUCGGAAAUGGUGGGUUUAACCACUAAAGCCGGUUCGGGUGAACUCUUAAGACCAUCAAUUAAUUCUUUAAGCAUGGUUUUGACUUCGCUCGUCAAGGACGUCUUGAGGGCUGCCAUAUCCGUAUUCAAGUCGUCCCUUGUGACCGAAGUCAAGUCCAUGUCCUCUCCGCCUUCCAUACUCUUCGGGUGGUUAAACCCUUAAUAAAGAGACGUGGCUCUGAUACCAAUUGAAAGGAUCGAUAUGGUUGGCUAGAGGGGGGGGGGUGAAUAGACAACGACCACCUUUUAAUUAAUCUUAACAAGUUAAGGUAAACACUAUACGGGUUCACAAAUAAUAUGACAAUGAGGUGAACCCUAUAGAAGCUAACAACGAGAGCUAUUAAGACAAGUAAGAUAUAGUCACAAGCAUAAGCAAAUACAAAGUAAAUGGUAGAGAUAACCACAAGUGGAACCGAUGGAGACGAGGAUGUGUUACCGAAGUUCCUUCCCUUUGACAGGAAGUACGUCUCCGUUGGAGCGGUGUGGAGGCACAAUGCUCCCCAAAAAGCCACUAAGGCCACCGUAUUCUCCUCACGCCCUCGCACGAUGCAAGGUACCGUGAUUCCACUAUAGGUGCCCUUGAAGGCGGCAACCGAACCUUUACAAACAAGGUUGGGGCAACUCCACACAAAGCUUGGAGGCUCCCAACUAAACCACGAAGCUUCACCACAAUGGAAUAUGGCUUCGAGGUGACCUCAACCGUCUAGGAUGCUCAAACACCCAAGAGUAACAAGAUCCGCAAGGGAUUGGUGGGGGAAUCAAAUUUUCUCUUGGUGGAAGUGUGUAUCUAAGCCUUCUCAACCAAUCCCUAAAGAAUCAACAAGUUUGAUUGGCUAGGGAGAGAGAUCGGGCACUUUUGAGCUUGUGGAGCAACAAUGGAGCUUAGAGAGGUAAGAGAUAGGGUUCCUCAGCUAGAAGAACCCUUUAUAUAGUGGGGGGAAAAUUCAGACCGUUUUCCCACUCUCUGCCCGAGUACCAGCGGUACUACCGCUGUGCAGGAGCGGUACUACCGCUGCCUGGCGGUACUACCGCUGGCUGCAGCGGUACUACUGCUGGGCCUCCAGCGGUACUACCGCUGACACCAGCGGUACUACCGCUGGCCCCUUGGUAGUGCACAAGCACUACUACCGCCGGGAAAGUCUUCGCAAAAGGGUCCGUCCACGAACUACCGCUAGGUAGGUGGAACAAAACACCUGGAGCGGUACUACCGCUGACGAGGGGCGGUACUACCGCUGGCUAGCGGUACUACCGCUGGCUGCAACGGUACUACCGCUAGCAGUCCAGCGGUACUACCGCUGGCACCAGCGGUACUACCGCUGGGGACCAUUUUGCAGAGAUAAUCGAGACGAAUAGGCGAGGGCCGCUCCAAAAGAUAAGGAAAGGGAGAAUGUGAAGUGUGCGUGUGUAAAGAUAGAUUCCACCCAAACCUUUCCACUACGGAUCCCCUCUUAAUAGUACGGCUUUCCUAUGACUCAAAUAAAGAGAAUCGUAGAGAGCGCCUUGCUUCCGUUCCAGAAGAGAGGAGACGUGUCGUCUUGUGCCGUUGACGAGUGUUACCUGAAACCUUGACACACACGAUUAGUCUUGUACGGUACUGUCAGCAAUCACCAAAAUUACUUAGGCAUAAACUAUGCCCCAACACCAGCCAGGUGCUCGACGCGAUGCUACGGCUAGCUAGGGACUCGGGCUGGUGGUGAAACACUCCAGAUCGUCUAAUGGCCUUACUUUGGGUCUGCUAGACAUGUUAGUUGGGUCUGGGGCUCAACUCCAUCGUGCAAACAAAAUACCAUGCCAUUUCUGGUCAGGGACACUAGGUGUUUGACAGAAUGCCAAUGGCAUCUAGGGGCACUUGCUAGCCAUGGAAAUUUCCAGACAUAAGUCUCACUGGAUGGGCACAAAGAUGGCAAGACUUGAUCUAGCAACACAACAACUUCACAAUGCAAUUCUAGUAAAAAUCCAUUUCUGGACAGAAACAAAAUGGCAAUGCAACAUGGGUUAAAACAACUCCAAUGGGGUUGAAGUUUGGUACUUAAGGGUUUCAUUGGAUGGACUACAGGCACAAAAAUGCUCAAGAGCAUUGGGGAAGGAAAAAGUGGGGUUGUAGUUCAAAAGGCCAAUCUGGUCCAGAACACAAAACAAGAAGUGGUGCUCAAAGAUUUCAAAAGGCAAAUAUAUAUUAUUGUCGAAAACUCAUUCCUAUAAACCUCUUGACCUCCACAAUUUUUUACAGAAUUUUUUAGAGACUUUAAUUAUGAGGUUGUAGUGUAAAGCACCUAUUUGGACCAGAACAGAAAAGAUGGCAAAAAACAAUAUUUUAUCAAAACACGCAGCUGGGUUUUUUCAUAAAACUCAUUUGUAUGAACCCCUUGGCUACUACAAAUUUUGGUAGAAUUUUUGGGGAAUUAAUUUAAGGGGUUGCAGUGCAAAUCCACAAUUGGACCAGAAAGUAAGAUUAAUUAAUUUUCUUAAUCCUAUCAAAACACUUGGCUAUAUUAUUAUAUAAAAUUGAUCUAGGAACAAAGUAGGUAAUUCUCAAGAUUAUGGUGAAAUUUUUAGAAGAUAUUAAUAGGUUGCUGCAGUUCAAAACUGGACCCAAAAAUAAUAAGAAACCAGUUUUGAAUAAUAGAGUUGGGAGAUAAUAUUUAAGAAAAAAAUAUUUUCUGAAAUAAUCAGUGGAGAGGAAUUAUUUGAGUCAAUCCUCAAGUCACACAAAAUUUCUCAAAAAGUUUUAGCUCAUAGAAUAGUUAUUCACAAAAUCAAGAAUAAGAGAGGUUUUGAAAUCAACAGAAAACCCAAAAAUAAAAAUUUAACAACAUUCAAGCCAAAUUUAUUAAAUAAAAAUCUUGGCAGAAAUUUGGGGUGUUACAGAUCAUCCACCAUAGUUCACGAUUAUCCUCAUGGUUAAGUAAAAUUCCUUGGAAGAACGACACUCAGACUGACUCUUGACCUAUCCCAGACUGUAGUCCUUAACCACGGACACGGCUAUCCGAAUAGAUAUAAAACUCUGCAAAGAGUGUACUCUUUACCAACGAGUAACGAGUUUCUUUAGUCAACUAGAAAUGACAACUAAUUCCGAUUACGACCCUUGAGUUGAAAAGACAGCUGACCCACACACACCAGUUUAACUUCUCGAUGCCUGGGUCACCCACAUCACUCAUUAAGUAAGACUUUGAGUGGGAAGAUUCUCAAUCUCCACUAGCAUGGGAUCAAAAUUUAUAAUGCGUGUUGCAAGGGAGUGCCCCCUGUCGGUCCCAGACUCGAAAAAGACCCAUGCCCCCAGACCAAGUGGCAUGCCUACCAGAUGCAUCCGGUAUCUUCCAUUGUGGCCUCUCUGUACGGUGUGUGCCAAGAAAGAGGUUGACGACUUACUGAACCGUACCCUACUCACAGCAGGGACAAAUGGUAGUAUGAGACAAGUAAGGGAGGUUACUGGAACAAGACUCAAUCUACGGUCAACUCACGAGGUUUAUAUUUUCCUUGCAUGAUUAGCACAUCAAGUAUGUUUCACAAUUCCAGACAUGAUCACCACCUAUCAUACCCCACCAUGCCUCACUGAUCAUCCUCGUCCCGACAAGAUGUCAACUCCAAAGUUGUGUCUUCCCGAGAUAGAGACUUCUCCCGGUUUACAUCCGGUAGGCAUGUGUGGCAUAAGGUAGUGACCACUCUCACAUGCAUCUGAAAUGCAACGGAAAUAAUUUCUCAUCAUUUACUUGUAGGCAUGAUUAUGCCUCCACAUGAAAUAUGUCACUCCACUUUAGCAUAGUGAUAAAGUUCACUUGUCAUAACACAACUAAUAUUAUAUCCGAGAUCAGAAUGCUUGCCUUCAAGGUGCACAGAGGUGAGGUGCACACCAAAACUUUUUGAAAGUUUUAAUCUUCCCUCCAAAUUCCUAUUUUGAAAUAACUCAAAUCAACAUAUAAUUCAAAUAGUACUAAACAGUUGUUUGAUUUUUUUGAAAUAAAUAUUAAAAUAAACUAGAUGGAAUUUGAGAAACAAUAGAAAAAGAAUUAAGUCAAUUGGAGUUUUAGUUCAAAAAAUAAGGUUAGCCAAAGUUCAGUGAACUUUCUGAUUUUAAGAGUAACCACAAAAAGAAAACGGUUCGGAAUGGAAAUAUGCAUCCUAACAGAGAGAACGCAUUACACAGAAUGUGCCUUCACUUACAGCUGACCUCGUGCGCCUUGGGUCACUAAAGUUGGGCCCGCGGGUCCACCAGCAAGGUUUGACUGGUCUAACCAGCCGUCUCCCUCCUAUGGCCGCGCGGAGGUGAAGACUCUGGUGACUCUAGCUGAAGAACAAGGGGUCUCCUAUGGUUCUAGGCAUGGGAACUAGAUGGAAUUUGAGAAACAAUAGAAAAAGAAUUAAGUCAAUUGGAGUUUUAGUUCAAAAAAUAAGGUUAGCCAAAGUUCAGUAAACUUUCUGAUUUUAAGAGUAACCAGAAAAAGAAAACGGUACGGAAUGGAAAUAUGCAUCCUAACAGAGAGAACGCAUUACACAGAAUGUGCCUUCACUUACAGCUGACCUCGUGCGCCUUGGGUCACUAAAGGUGGGACCGCGGGUCCACCAGUAAGGUUUGACUGGUCUAACCAGCCGUCUCCCUCCUAGGGCCGCGCGGAGGUGAAGACUCUGGUGACCCUAGCUAAAGAACAAGGGGUCUCCUAGGGUUCUAGGCAUGGGAACGGGGUACACACGUCGCGGCAGUCCCGAGGAGGCGUGCCACGUGUGCUGAGGUGGUUGGAGUUGUCAUCGGCAAGAUUCACCGCGGACGCCGGUGUCGGCCAAAAUGGCACGCCCGCAUGUGACGUCUCUCUCGGGUUUUGGGCUCCGGGGAGGGUUCUACGGUGGGUCUGGUGACUCCUAGCUCCAACGGCUCGGGCAAUGGCAGCGCGGAUGUGGCGAAUUUCGUGGCAACCUUCGGCGGUCAUCCUUACCGGAGAUGGGGAAGAAGGGGCCUCUAGCUAAAAUUUUGCGCUAUUGUCGACCUUAGAGCAAGUACAAUAAGGUACAGUCAGCAGGCUGUAAGGAUUAAAAUAUUAUAUUUUUACCGAGUUGGAUGAGAGAGAAGAGGAGAGAGAAGGGAAGCGGGCUCUUCGUGAAGAGCUAGCUCUAGCACGUGCUCCUAGGUGCUUUGUGAGAAUGAAAGCUGGACCAUAUAUGAUAAAAAUAGUACUCUUUUAUAGCUAACUAUUGUACAAGCUAGCUAUAAGAUGGGCUAUAACAUGACUUAUAGCCAGCAGUUGGCUAUACUAUUAGAGCAAGUACAAUAAGGUCCAGUCAGCAGGCUAUAAGGAUUAAAAUACUAUAUUUCUGCUGAGUCGGAUGAGAGAGAAGAGGAGAGAGAAAGGAAGCGGACUCUUCGUGAAGAGCCAGCUCUAACACGUGCUCCUAGGUGCUUUGUGAGAAUGAAACGUGGGCCAUAUAUGAUAAAAGUAGUACUCUUUUAUAGCUAACUAUUGUACAAGCUGGCUAUAAGGUGGGCUAUAAGACUCCUUAUAGCCAGCAGUUGGCUAUACUAUUAACCAUGCUCUUCGGGGAACGAACGGAGGCUGCUUGGUCGAUCCUAGGAGUGCUAGGGGGCUUAAAUAGGCGAGCUACAUCGGUUUCUGGAGCUCCCCAGGAUAAGAUCGCCGGCGGUGCUACUGCUGGCGGAGGACGACGUGGCAAGACCCAUGAGUGACGCAAGGGCUUGCGUACGACGGGAGCAUUGCUCCACGGCGAGCUGGCGAGUUGCGGUGACUUGGGUGGUGCUACCAUUGCAGAAGGUAGACAUUCUCACCGGCAUGCGGCCAAAUAGUUAUAGAAGCACUCAAGGCGCGCUUGGAAGAGGGUCAGCGAGGCUAGAAAUGAGCUUGGCGCUGUGUCGAGGGAAGGUGGCGCUUGGGGAGCAGCGGAACAACGUUGACUACGGCAGAGGCAGACACGAGCAUCCGCUAGCCUCCAAGGCGGCUGCUGUGGCGGCCCUGAAUGGCACCGAGGCUAUUGGGGUGGGUCUAGCAGGCUUGGAGGGGACGGGGUCGUGGCUCUAUAUGGGCGAGCAAGGGCCGGGGCGCGGGGUUGGUGGGAUGCGGCGGCUCGGGUGCGCCGGCAUGCAAUAACCGUGCUCUCGACGCGUCCAGAGCAUGCACAUGAGGUGCUCUGGCAAUGCCGCGACAUGCCCCGGGGCUCUAAUGCCUAUGGGAUUUUGCAGGGGUGGGUUUAAGGGCAAUGAAAGGCUAGAAGACACGCUGGUUUGGUCACUGGAGUAAGUCCAUAGUGCAAACUAAAAACAAUUCCAAUUAUGUUCAUGCACUUAGGUGCUCGACAGAAUGCUAGGGCCAUCUAUGGGGCUUUGCUGGCCACCAAAAUUUCCAAAACAAGGUCUCUUUAGGUGCACAAAAGUAUGGCAAGGUUGGUUUGGGAAAAGCAAAAAAUUGCUAGUGCAAGUUUUUAAGAAAACCAGUUUUGGAAAACAACUACAGGAGGUUAUACCAUGGGUUUAAAAUAUCCAAAUAAGGCUGAUCUCCUAGAAUUAAGGGUUUGGUAGGGCCUACCAGAAGAGGUAAAAAUCCCACGGGCUUUGGGACAAAGUAAAAUAGGGUUCUAGUUCAAAACAUCAAACUGGACCAGAAUAGAAAACAAGAUUGUUUGCUCAAAUUUUCCAAAACACUUGGUUGGGUUAUUACACAAAGGUGAUCCAAGGACGUCACAUGACAUCUACAAAUUUUUGUGGAAUUUUUAAAUGAAUAUAUCAAAUAGUUGUAGUGCAAAUGGGGUCCUUAAAGGAAUUAAAAAGCCAGUUUUAAAGGGAUGAAACUUGGCAAAAAUAUUAUAAAAUGUUUUCACUACAUUUACCAAAUGAGCUGAAAUGUUUUGAUGCAAGCACCCAAGUCCCACAAUAUUUUUCAAAAACUUCUACGCGGAGGGAAAAAUUUAAAGAAUAGACAUUAGGACAUGUUCUAAAAUCAACAGAAAAUCCAGAAAUCUAAAAAUUAAACAAUCAUGGCAAUAUUUUAAUUAAUAAAAACAUGGUUAAAUUUUUGGGAUGUUACAUAGGAGCUAUGGAAUAGACAGAGACUGGCUAAGGAUGAGGUGGCGAUGUGCGUUGGAAGUGUCUCAAAGGUUGAUGUGAUCGCCAUCUACAUGCUCGUUCUACAUGAAUAAUAUCUUUUAUAAUCAUGCACCCAAUGUGAAUGGUUUAUUGAAUCUCGAUCGUAGUGAUACACAUGUUCAUAGUAUCGAUGCCAAAAGAUGGAAAGUUAAUGAUAAUAGCACCACAUACUCGUGGCACUCCUGCUUAGGUCGUAUUGGUGUAAAGCACAUGAAGAAACUCCAUACUAAUGGAUCUUUGGACUAAUACAUCUCCAACGUAUCUAUAAUUUAUGAAGUAUUCAUGCCAUGUUUGUCUAUGUUUACAAUAAUUUUAUAUGGUUUUGAUGCACAUUAUUUGAUUUAUUUAGAACUGACCCGGACUAACAUUGUUUUCACAAGAAUUAUUGUGGUAUUGUUUUUGUGCAGAAAAUAAAAAUUCUCAGAAUUGCUCAAAACUUUUUUAUGAUUUUUUAUGGGAAAACUAAAAAAUACUCGAGCAAAGAACCACCGGAGGGGGCCACCUGUGUGCCACAAGCCAAAAGGGCGCAUCCUGAUAGCUUGUGGGGCCCACAUGGCUCUGGCUGGUGUGAUUCCAAUGCUGAAAAUUUCUAUAAUCCCAAAACCCUUAGAAAUUAGGAGAGAACUUCUGCUUUGCCGCCGCAACUCUUUGUAUAAGAGAAAAACCCAUAUGGAGCCUUUCCAGUACCCUGCCAAAGGGAGAAAUCAUCUCCGGUGGCCAUAUUCAUCAUUCCGACGGAGGCCAUGACGAGGAGGGAGUAGUUCACCUUCGGGGCUAAGGGUAUGUAGCAGCAGCUAUGUGUUUGAUCUCUCUCUCUCAUGUUCUCGAGAUGUCACAAUCUUAAUGUAUCAUGGGCUUUGUUAAUAUAGUUAGAUCAUGUGGUGUUUGUUCCUUGGUAUCUUGUUGUGAUGAAUUGAAUCUUCCCUUUGGGAUCUCGUUAUGUUGGAUUGAAUAUUGGAUUUGAGAACACUUGAUGUAAGUCUUGGUACUCAAAUUGCAGAUUUUCGUGGUGAUAAUGGGCUAAUCUAUGCAUAGGAGUUGAUACGCUAUCUUGUCCUACCUUCUCUGAUAGAAAUCUUGGGGCACUCUUCUAAGUUCUUUAUGUUGGAUUAAAAUGUUGGAUCCGAAAUUGUUUGAUGCAUGUCCAAUAAUUAACCCAUGGAUACUUGAGGUGACAUUGGAGUAUCUAGGUGACAUUAGGGUUGAUUGAUAUGAAUCAUAGGUCUUAUUCUAGUAUGAACGCUAGGGCUGUUUGUGAUACCUAUAGGAAUAGCCCAAAAGAUUGAUCGGAAAGAAUAACUUUGAGGUGGUUUGCUGCCUAAUUUAGGACAGUAAAACUGAACCUAGUCCCAGCCGUCUCAGACAUUUGAAGAUUUUGGCUGUCCGAUCAAGAAUCUAGAUCAUCUUAGCCGUCUAAUCUUAAGUUUCUUGCUAACUGGGCUGCUGUCCUAAGGGGCUGCUACUCCAGUAGAAAAAAUGGUGGAAUCUGGUUAAACAGGCCCAUAUACCGUUUGGAGCCCAUUCAACACCACGAAGCCUGCGAGCAUGUCCCCUCUCCUUUCGUCCCCAUUCAACCCUAUGCGCCGCCGCCGCCGCCACUAUCGACGCCAGCCUCGAUCCUUCGUCCCUCUCCCUCCUAAGCGGCAAAGGCACCCCCGACAGAGGGUACACAUCGGAAAUGCACGAGGAACCAGCCGACCGCAAGAACAAGAAGGUGAUGGUGGACGAGUCGCCGCAGGAGAGAGGGAGGGAGGGAUGGCA
rnacentral:lncRNA from 1 species